rnacentral:lncRNA from 1 species
AUGUAUCUGGGCAUAUGGUUUCAUUCAGUCAAGCCAACGUAGAAUCCAGCAUUUCUACCAACUUCUAUGUCCCUCUCAUGUAUGUUCCUGUGAAACUUGAGAGCAACAUCAAAGGCAGCACAUACUCGGCUGUGGAAAAAUCAAUGAAGAAUGAAGGUCAGUCUUCAAAAAACAAUGGCAGUUCCAAGUUGGAGGAGUAAAUUUGUUAUUAUUCAAAACAAUUGUAGAAAUAACAGUAUUUGCCAGCUAGUAAUUGACAUAACAGCAGUAGUUAAACAGUAAAAUGGAGUCCAAUGAGCCAACCAGUGGGAAGAAUGCAAUGCUCAGGCAGUACCGUGGGCAAUAUCACACUGAGACUCUAAGAGUGGAGGAUGUGCAAUUAUUGGCUUCAUGAGGCAUACUAAAUCAAUUCAAAGUUCAAAGUAUUGAAACAAUUAACUAAUUUAGGAUUUCCAUUUUAUGCACUAGAUCGGAAGGAUUCUGGAGCAAAAAUAUGUGCCCUGGUAACUUACUUUCAUGAAGUUAAUAACGUCCUACUAAUAAACAUCAAAAUGCAACGGCCCAUUAAAAAGAAAAGCACAGAAGAACUUUCAAUCUAUCAUUUCAAAACAGUCUCUCUGAACUAAACAAGAGUACAGCUAUGAUCUCCAGCUUUGGACGUUAGUACUUUUGCUUCUCCAAAAUCUUCACAUCACCUAAAGAGAGAGAGCAAUUUAAGAAUGUGCUCAUAAUAAUGAAAUUAGUUCUGGUAUCCGAGCAUUGUAGCUUGAUUGGAUAAUAAGUUCACAGGAAUACAUAUGAGACUCUCUAACUGCUUCACCUACAGGUACUACAAGAAGCUGGCAAACAUGUUGCUUUGACAUCAAGGGUUCAACAUAAUGCCAAAACAGCAAAAACAUUUUGUUAAAAGUUUGAUAUGGCAAAUCUAAAAGAUAAGUUGAUUCAAAUCCCAUAAUGGGCACACAGACAAUCUAGAAUGAGAGAAUGCAGGUUGCAGUUGCGAAUAUUCAACGAUCAACUGAGUUGAUAAUAACUUCUCCUAAUCCUUUAAAGGAUUGGCUUUGCUCCAUAAUUGGUUAAAUCACAAAUUUAGCAACCUAGCCUAUCCAAUAUGUCAUAAGAUCACAUAUUUAGAAGCUGAUUUUAUUAUGAAAGGCACAGGGCCAUUCUAAGUCAGAUAGGGAAGAAUAAUUGCUUUCAGGGAGGAGCCCAGUGGUCUCUCAUAUUGCAUAUGAUAUCAAGUCAAUGUGAACCAUUCACAUCAGCUUACAACCAAGCUGAAGUAGAAAUGUCAGGAUGCACGAUGAACUAGUUGAAGUACUAUUCUAAAGUUUUUCCAUCCAUAUUCUUAUAUAUUUAACGCAAAUAAAAUACAGAUUGGUACUUUGUUAUAGUUGUAUUCAAGCACAUAUUUGGCCUCUGUACAACUAAACUUCAAUGGAGCUCAUAAGAUUGGAAGCAAUAAGUUCAUCGGAUUAGCCAAGAUGGGGCACACUCAAAAGUAGACAAGUAGAGUACAACAGGUGCAUCUAACAAGAAAACUUCCAUUUUAAGAGAUGGUCUAGUGGCAUGGUACUCAGACAGAAAUUCCAGACCAUGAAUAACAAGUUAUGAACCACCAUCAAAGUAACUUUUCAAAGAGAUGAUUAAUACAUAGCCAAAGACAAGCCAUCAUAAUUGUGGACUGUUCAAAGAGAUGAUAAUACAUAGGCAAAUACAAGCCGUCAUAAUCGUGGACACAUAUCCUAAGAUAAUCCCAUUCCGCAGGAUGCAUUGCUGCAACAUAUAGAAUUCAGAUUCGACGCAAUCAACUCCACAUAAUCCAUCAAAAUCCCAUUGAAGAGGCAUUAGAAGGUAGAAAUUUCAGCUAAAUUUUUUUUGAAGAAAUGGAAAUAGAAGAAAGAAUCGUACCAUAGGUAGUGAGAAGAGAGAAUACAAGGGAAGAGAAAGGAGAAAUUCUAUGAAUCUUUGACCCCAAAAGAAAACCAAAAUCCAUACAAUACCUCCCUAAAGAACACACGCUUUUAUGGUUUUUGAUGGCAUAGGAGUACUUCCUAAGGAAAUAUAUAAGUAAUUAGGAGAUGCUACAAGAAUAGCUCAUGUCUGUUGCUUCCUAUAUAGUUACUUCCAUAUUCUUAUAUAUUUAAGGCAAAUAAAAUACAGAUUGGUACUUUGUUAUAGUUGUAUUCAAGCACAUAUUUGGCCUCUGUACAACUAAACUUCAAUGGAGCUCAUAAGAGUGGAAGCAAUAAGUUCAUCGGAUUAGCCAAGAUGGGGCACACUCAAAAGUAGACAAGUAGAGUACAACAGGUGCAUCUAACAAGAAAACUUCCAUUUUAAGAGAUGGUCUAGUGGCAUGGUACUCAGACAGAAAUUCCAGACCAUGAAUAACAAGUUAUGAACCACCAUCAAAGUAACUUUUCAAAGAGAUGAUUAAUACAUAGCCAAAGACAAGCCAUCAUAAUUGUGGACUGUUCAAAGAGAUGAUAAUACAUAGGCAAAUACAAGCCGUCAUAAUCGUGGACACAUAUCCUAAGAUAAUCCCAUUCCGCAGGAUGCAUUGCUGCAACAUAUAGAAUUCAGAUUCGACGCAAUCAACUCCACAUAAUCCAUCAAAAUCCCAUUGAAGAGGCAUUAGAAGGUAGAAAUUUCAGCUAAAUUUUUUUUGAAGAAAUGGAAAUAGAAGAAAGAAUCGUACCAUAGGUAGUGAGAAGAGAGAAUACAAGGGAAGAGAAAGGAGAAAUUCUAUGAAUCUUUGACCCCAAAAGAAAACCAAAAUCCAUACAAUACCUCCCUAAAGAACACACGCUCUUAUGGUUUUUGAUGGCAUAGGAGUACUUCCUAAGGAAAUAUAUAAGUAAUUAGGAGAUGCUACAAGGAUAGCUCAUGUCUGUUGCUUCCUAUAUAGUUACUCCAUAGUUAGUUCACACAAAAAUAGUUUCUGUAAGGUAAACAUGGUUUACUUUCACUGCAAUAUAUAACAUAAGUAGACGACAACACUCAUAUCUGGAUAAACUUUUGAAAUUAGGUUUUCAGGAUCUUUUACAAAUUUGUAAUUUUUAUUUGCUUCACCCUCUCCCCCUAUUCUUAGAAAACCUAAAAUUUUGGAUCCUUCUGUCCGUUGCCUUUGCUAAUAAGCAGUUCUCUGUCUAGCCGCUAUUAAGCCACAUUACCUCCACAAGAAAUCAAUUCCUAGCCACAAAACACUCCAUUACUCUCCCCAGCUUUGUUACAUUAGAUCUUUAGCAAGCAUCAAUAACCAAAUUCAAAAUAACACACACUACUAUGCACUUAAAUCAAAUUACCAAGAUCAAUUUUGAAAAAUAUCAUAAAAUCGUGAAACACAAGAACAUUGCAUUGCAAUGUAUUGUUAAUAUAUCCCAUAUCAGUAUCAUACAUAUCAUUAUCAACACCACGAAUACCACCACCAUCAUCAUAAACCUCUUUUGACUCCAAAAUCAACAGCUCUUAUUGUCGUAACGAGCAUAGCUACAGAACCCAUUACUGAAAAUUAACACUUGAAACCACCUAGCUUAAUUAAACCCAUCUGCUAAUAAACCUAUUCAUUGCUAACCCAUCAAGCUACAAAUUAAUCAAAAUCAAACUCCAAACAAAAUGAAAUAAUCAAAUAAUAAUAACAACAACAGUAACACAAAUAUACCGGUGAACAAAUUGACGAAUCCGGGGGUGCUUAGGGCUGAUAACGCGGCCCUGAAUCCUCAAAGCAAGCCUGUACGUCCGCUUCAUCCCCAAGAAAUACGCUGUUCCCAAUGUGAUCUCCCAUAGCACCAUUGUCUCUCUUUCUAGAACUCUCUCUCUCUCUGUGUAUUGUUCGUGUAUUUAUGCACUUUUUUUUUGUUUUAUGUUUAUUUAUUUAUGGAUAUUUUUUAUAUUUUGACGUUUCUUUUCUCCCAAGUAUCUAUGGAUCCCUCGCUUCAGAGAAGUAUCUAUGGAUCCCUUGAUUCGAGCCGCCAGAUAUUUCGAUCUUGGUUACCCAUCACGCUUCGGCCUUAGAGUGUUUAUCCGUUUUUUGUCUCCGGACUUCAUAUGUAUCUAAAGAGGAAUUUUUGAGGAUUAUGCCAUCAAUAAAAAUAAAAUUUCCAUAAACAUGACAAAUAUGUGAGGAAAAGUCUAGAAAGCCCUUCCAUUAGAAUGACACACUCUACCCACACCCAGUAGUUAGCUGCCCGACCUUUUUUUAGUUGACAACUAUACUCGACUUUAUUUUAACCAAUAGUUACAUAAUUGUGAGACUCAUUUUCAUAUUCGAUCUAUAUUUAAUUUUUUAAUUACUCGAAUAUUAUCGAAAAUGAACUAAUUAUGAUUAAAUUAUUUAUUAAUCAUUCCAUAAUUAUCUAAUUGUACUUAAGUAAUUUAUCUAUGCUAUGCAUUAUAAUGAACGAAAAAUUAAACUAAAGAAAGCCUGUCACUUUUUUUAUAAAAAAAAUUGGAGAGAGAGGGGCAAAAUAGUCUAUUGUGUUGCUAUAUUGAAUGAAUAUAUUUUAUAGUCUUUGUGCAAUUCACUCGGUCGUAAUCACAUAUAAGUGAAUAAAGCCGAAAGCAGGCGUAGUUCUGGAAAUUGGCCAUUUAAAAUUAAAAAAAAAAAAAAACUCUACAUCUCUUUGAGUUCUCCCGGCCUCAUCUCAACAGUUGGGUUCUCUGUUUUUUUUUUUAUAAUGCCACUGUUUUAGUGAAAGAGAUCUUUUAAAUACACCUCUUUACUUGAAUAAAAAAGGGGUACAAAUAUGUCAAACAAUAAAAAUGGCAUGAAGCUAAAAGGAGCAAAAUAAUAAUAAGUCAAUGGUAGAAUAAUUAGUAGAACUUCUUCGCGUGUUCACUAUUUCAUUUCUCAAUCUCUUGAAAUAUUUGAUUGAUGGGUAUUUAUAGCCAAUAAAGCAUAUAUAUUCGGUCGUGCAUUUAGCAACAUGUUUUUUGAUUCUUAAGGUGUUAUGUAUAUUAUAUUUCAAGGAGUAUGAUGAUACACACAUACAUCAUAAAUCAUGGAGCUGCUUUUGCAACUCACUUCCUAAAGUUAUUAGUGUAAAAUACACAUUCUUUUUACCAAGAGAUGAAUAGAUAUAUCUCAUAACAACAACGAGAAUUUAAAUUAUCACAAUGCUUUUGAAAUUCCAAGAACAGAAACCUCCGCUUCCACAAUGCACACAUCAUUCACAAGAAAACCAUUGCCUGCCUCGUUUUAGUAACUGAGUUCAACAAAUCUUGGCCAACCCCAUGAGGACCUGAACCAUAUACUUGCUGCGUGAAACAACAAUAAAGAAAGCCUCAAGUUAUUUGUAUUUAGCUAUAAAGCUUAUAGUUGCAGUACUAUUGCAUUAAUUCAUGCACCUGUGAAAUAAGUUUGGGAUAUUAAUUUUUUUAUUUAAUUACUUUUUGCUUCUUUAUGCUUUCCCCGCACUUGAUCCCGGAUUCGCAGUGUGAAGUGCACGUAUAUUUUAAAACCAGGAGUUAUAGUUGAGGAAUCAACCAAUGCCAAGGACAUAGAAACAUGACUGCCGGUUCCACUUUUGAUUCCCUUGGGAUGGAGCUGUAUCUUCCUGAAAAAAUCAACAAGGGUUAAUUUUCAGAUGAGGCAUUUAAUUAGAUGAUACGAGUAAAGAAAUUAACAGAAAGAAUUAGUCAUCCUCAACUUCGGACGUCUACUUGAUCGUAGGCUAAAUCCAAACCUCGUGAAAUUUGGACACCAUUUCAGAAAGUAUAUAUAUACAUAUACCACUUUUGAUCUCUAACAAUGAAUACUUCUGAUUCGUGACGCUUUGCCUCUAACUUUGAAAAGUUCUCGAUCUUCCAAACAUGCUUAUAAAUGGAAGCAGAUGUCAAUUUCGUCAUGGAAAGGCACUCUCCUUUGCAUUUGUUCCUUUCUUUAACCAGUACUUCUGCUCCAAAAACACACGUAUCGUCCACAAGAUAUCCAUUCGAAGCAUCGUUAAAUUCUUCCAGCGGGAUGAAUUGAUCAAAACCCCAUUCAAGCUUCAAUCCAUGAAAACGUCUUUCUUUUCCCAUGGCAUCUACCACAUGAUGAAGUGACCCCAAAUCACGAUUAGCUCUUAGGUAAAUAAUUAAGAACAAAAUAAUCCUGAACACUGUUGAGUAUAAUAAUCAACCUUGAAGAAUCAAGAACUCGUCUUUGUUCUGAUCAAGCACAAAGAGGCGGAAAAUUGGAUAGACUUCCCAGCCAAAGCCAAGCGAACUUGUGUCUGCCAUUUCCAAGUAGAGUGAGAUGUGAUCGUUCACAUUUUUGUUUUCAUUUCCAUUUGGGUAGACAACAAGUUUCCUGAAACCAUCAUGAAUUCAAAAUAACAUAUUAGAUUAUGAAUUAUAAUUUAGUAACAAGGUAAUCUGAAUAUUAAUUCACUAAGUUUUAGGUCAUACCACUUGUGGCCUCCAGCAUCAAAUUCCAAAGAUUCAUAAAUUUCCAAUUCAUUCUCCACAAGAGAUGAAAAUUCCUGUAUUUUGAGUAAGAAAUGAGCCGGUGGUACGUGUGAAAUGGAUCUUGAAAUUGCCGUCAAGAGUAAUUUUAACAUUGAUAAGAAGAUAACAAGCUAAAAAUGUUCAAUUAAUGCACAUAUAUAAACAUACGUAGAGAAGGGAAGCUGAGGAAAGAGUUAGACAACAUACCAACUUGGUCUACAAAGUCAUUUUCCAUUGCAACAAAUCCCUCCAAAUUACAAUAAUUUCUCGAGUAUUAAAACUAGUAUUGAAGACAGAUUUAUUAAGAUAAGAUUUUUCAAGGGUUACAGGUCUCUCAAAAAUAAUAUUUCUUCUUUAAAAUAUCUAAAAGGGACAAUGGCAUAUAUAAAGCACCAAGGUUGAGGGUUUAUACAAUUCAACAUUAAAUUUUCAGAAAGAGUCAGAAUAACUAUUGAUAUUCGCCAAGUUUUGGAAACUGGUGGUUGCAAGAAUGGAAUGGAAAGGGGAAUGCAAGGGGGGGAAGGGAGAUUGAUUCUUUAAUUUGUUUGGUUUGGUCAAGGAAUAUUGAUUUCUUUGCUUGGUUGCAAGAAUGGAUGGUAAGGGGUAAGAAAACAACUACAAUACAAAUGAACAAGAAUAUGUGCCCUCCACUCAAAAAACGUCUAUUUCAACGAACUGAAGCAGUAUUUUAGUUGUUCUAUUUUCUAUUAUCAAAUAUUAUAAAAUUAGCUUCCAAAAUUUAGGCCCGAUUUAGUAUUAUGGUUGAGCAGCACUUAGUGUUCGAUAAAUAUUUAUUAAUCUAAUCUGAAAGUUAAGUUGAUUUUAUUUCACGCUCGUAAAAUAAAAAAACCUAAAAAAAACCUAUUGCGACUGGCAGAAUACAGAGAGAAAAAAAGAGGGGCAACAGUGAAUAAGAUAUCACAGGCUAAACCUAUAAGAAGCAUCCCCAUCUAGUUUCCAUGUGGAGACUUAACAACCAAUUAACCACCAAUUAUCGAGCGGCAACAAUUGAAUUUCUCUGUCAAAUAUUUGGGUACGAUGAGAUUAACUCUUAUUAUAAGAAAUAAAAUUAAAAAAUUGGCAUCCCAAUUUUCUUGCAAGAGUAGCAAUGCUUAUUAGAGUAUAUAUUACAGGGCUUUGGGAAUUCUAAGCGCAGACACCUCUACUUCAGCAAUGCACACUUCGUUCACAAGAAAACCAUUGCUUGCCUUGUUCAAGUAACUGGGUUCAACAAAUUUGUGCCAGCCCCAAUCUUCGAUUGAGUUCCUAAACCAUGUACUGGCUACAGGAACAACAAUAGAAACCUGAAGUUAUCUGUAUUUAGCUACUACGCUUAUUGAUGAACUUCAACACCUGUUAAAGCUUGGGUUAAUAAUAACAAGGGUAAAGUUUUAUGAUUAUGCUUUGACUACACUUGAUCCUGGAUUUGCAGUGUGAAACAAAGGUAUUUUUAAAACCACGAGUUAUAGUUGAGAAGUCAGCCAAAUAUCAGGUACAUAGAAAUAUGACUGCCAGGUCCUUCUCUCUGUCCCUCGGGAUAGAGGCAUACCUUCCUGAAAAAAUCAACAAGGGUAAAGUUUAAGUCUCGGCAUUCAAUUGUACUUAUUUACUAAGAGGUUCCACUUAACAAAUUAUUAAAACAUUAACUUUCAAAUGUGGCAUUUAGUUUAUAUAUAUGAACAGAGAAACAAGUAAAUUUUAGAAAAUCAUUUACAUUAUACAUUCGAAGAAGUGGUCAUAACAUGAGGCCCCUUUUUAACAAGUUGUACCAUUCAAAUUUCUUCUACAUUACCAUUAGAAAUAUAUCGCACAUGUAUAAAUGAACCUUAAGUAUUAGUCAUGUUCUGGUACAGAUGUCUAGAUUUCGGCUAUUAUAUAUUAGAGUUGUGCAUCAUUAUAAAAUGUACAACUUUGAUUAUAGUUCGAAUCGAGGUUUUAUAGACUCUGAACGUCCUGACUUGAGCAUUAAAUCCAGAUAUCAUUCAAUUCUGAAUUGAUCAAAACCUAAUUCAAGCUUCUUUCAUUUCCCAUGGCAUCUAUUACAUGAAGUUGACCAAAUCAUUGAUUAGCUCUUAGUUAAAUAAUUAAAUAAGAACAAAAUAAUCAUAAACAUUGCUGAGUGUAAUAAUUAACCUUGAAGAAUCAAGAACUCGUCUCUCUUCUGAUCAAGCACAAAUAAUAAUCUAAUAUCUAAUUCACUGUUGUGGAUAGUUAUGACCAAUUAAUUAUCUUAUUUUGCAAUAACAUAUUUUUUACGUUCGGCACCGUUUUUCAUGGGCCAUUCUCAUUUUCUUUUUAUAAAUUCAAGUGGAAUAAGUGUUCGGUAGCCCUUCUCGUAAAACCUAAUUGUAAAACAUAGAAUCUGACUUAGCUUUGAUAGUUAUAAAUUAUAAAACAACUUAUACAUGUUUUACUUGUUUUAUAAAACAAAUUGUAAAAUAAAAUAUAAUAAUAUACACGGUUAAUAAAAAUAGCAGAUAGUCUCCAUCUUUAAGACUCUUGACACCCCGUCUAUCUCACUAACCUUAUCUCUUAACUCUCAUCUUCCUUCAUGAUUUACGAACUGCAUCUCGUUCUUCCUUUCUUCUUCUUUUCUUCUUCCUCUGUUUUUUCUACCUUUCCUUCAUAAUUCUUUUCUUUAUUAGCUCGAUCAUUUUUUUCAACAUAUUUCUGGGUUCUUAUACAUUUUAUUUAGUUUUUCUUUGAUAAAAUCACCAAAGAUCUAUAGAGAUUUACACUGAACUUUGCAGAUAUGGGUAUUUGAUUCUUAAUUGUAAGCAAGCAUGUAAUCUUUUUUUUUUGUUUCCCAGAAACGCCAUAUUUAAUCAUUUUAAUUUGAUCAAAUGUUAAAAUGUUGUAAGAAUUCAAUAGAUUUUUUUCUUUUUUGAAAGAAAGGAGAAUUAGAUUUAAUAUUUAUAAAAUUAUUUUUCCUCCUUUUAUAUCCUUUUCGAAUCAAGUGUAUAAGGUAGAAAGAUCGAUCGAAUAGUGAUCAUGUUAACAAAAAAUAAUUAUUUAAAAAAGUUAAAAUUGGAUAUUAUAAUUAUUGUUAUUAUUAUUGCUGUUGUUGUUGUAAGUUGGUAUAUUGAAAAAUAAAUUAGUUUUUAUAUGAAUUUUAAACACAAAUUUAACUUGCAUGAAGUAAAAACCGUUAAUAGAUACCGAACGUGUAUUAUUAAUUUCAUUUUUUAAAUAUAGGAUAUACAAAAUAAUACCAAACACAUAUUUAAAUUAGAAAUAUAAGAACUUCAAAACACCAUUUUCGUUCUCAUUUUUAUUCUAAGAAAAUAUAAAUUUAAAAACCAUACCGAACAUGCUAGCUUCUGAUCUUUUUUUAGUUUAGAAACUACUUCUUUUGAAUUCUUAAAUGUCCAUAUAUGAUAUUUCUUUCAUGUAACAUUAAUUUCUUGCUUGUACUCAAUUUAUCUUAUUAAUGCUUCUCUUUAAUUAAAAACUAAGAGUUUUUAUCACCAUCUCACUUGUUAAUAGUUGAUAGAUAGUAAUUUUAUUCCAGGAUUAAGAUUGUCAGAGAUUUUCUUCCAGGAUUAAGAAUUAUGUCAAUGAACAAAUGUGAUCGCAUAAGUAAGCCAUAAAAUCAAUGAAUUUCUUUAUUUCGUGAGAAACCAAGAAGAAUAAACAUCUCAAUUUUCUUCAUAUUUUGCUCGAAUUACUUGUUAUUACAAUGCCUCGGAGAUUCUGAGCACGUGAUCUCAGCUUCCACCACGCAAAUGUCGUUCACAAGAUACCCAUUCUUUGGGUCAUUUAACUUAAUGAAACGAAUCUUGACCAACCCCACUUAUUAUCGACUGGUGCAUAGAACCAUUUUCUACCUCCUAGAGAAAAGGAAUCAUUUGUUGAACAUGUGCAUGCAUGUGGCAAAUAAUUGCACGUGGCUAGCAUGCAAUUUUUUAACUCUUAGCAUAAAGUUGUUGAGUAAAUGGAAAACAAAGGUAAGUGGAAGGAAUCAACUUUUGACAUUGGCACCAAAUUUGAAAAGUUGGGUGGAAAUUUAUAUUAUUUUAAUGCCCACCAUUGUUGAUUUUUGGGCAUGGCUUGACCUAUCAAUAGAGGCCUCAUUUGCCCUCUUUAUUUAUCUCAUUUUCUCCAAUUCAAGUGAGAGUGCCAAGAGGUGUAAGUUGAGAGUGUUGAGAGCUUUGAGCUGUAGUUCUAGUGUUUUGAGAGUUUGGGUGUAUUGAGAUUUUGGGUUGAGAGAAAAAAUAUUACAAUACUUGUAAUUCCUUUUCACUAGUAAAAUAUUUUCUUUUGUCUUUGUCUGUGGAUGUAGGUUAAAAACUGAACCACGGAAAUUCUGGUGUCCAGGUAUGUUCAUUAUUUCUUAAUUUUACUUUAGUUGCGUGUUUGCUGCACCCGCAAAUUCCCAACAUCAUUCUCAUUAUACAUAUUAUUUGAAUUCUAUAACCUCAAAUUAAGCUGAUUUUUUUUUAGGUUAAAGGUACUUUCAAAAUCAAAGAGUAAAAAAAAAACUGCUUGAAAAUCACUCAAUCAAAUUACCGGUGUCAAUCAUAUAAAAAACAAGCAAUAUACCUUAAGAAGAUUCAUGCAUUGGCGAAUUUGAUCCAAGAUUUGAAAUGUAAACUCUGCGCAUACUUUAACAAUACUCCGAACUGCGGAAUCUCCAAAACCCAAGAACAAGGAAAGAUAAUCGCCAGCACCGGGGCCAGCUCCCAUCGGGUGCAGCUCUAUCUUCCUGAAAAAAACGAAAUGGUAUUUAAUUAAUUGUACACUCACUGACAACUUUGUCUCAAGAACUUAUUAUUUAUUAUACCUGUAUAAAUUAAAAAAAAAUUAAAAUCUUCGAUACCAUUUGUGGUUUCCAGCAUCGAAAACUUGUGAUUCCUCAUAUCCUGCGUCUAACUUUGAAAAGUUCUCGAUCUUCCAAACAUACUUACAACUGCUUGCAAUUUCUUUCAUAGAUAGGCACUCUCCUUUGAAUUUGUUUCUUUCUUUAACAAGCACUUCAGCGUCAAAAACACACGUAUCUUCGACAAGGUAUCCAUUUGAAGCAUCAUUGAAAGCUCUAAGCGGGAUGAAUUUAUCAAAACCCCAUACAUGCUUCAGUCCAUUAAACCGUCUUUCCUUUCCCAUGCAAUCUAUCACAUUAAAAGCAACCACUGAUUAUGCAUGCAUUCAAUUUCUUUCCUAAAGAUUCGAGCAAAAUUUUUGCUUUCAAUAUACAAUUCUGGACAUUAAAUUUGAUUUAACCUUGAACUACAAAGUAGUUGUCUUGGUUCUAAUCAAGUAAGAACAGACAAAAACUGCAGAGACUUCCCAAUCCAAAGUAAAUGAACUUGUGCCUGCAAUUGCUAAGUAGAGUGAGAUGUAGUCUUUCACAUUCUUGCUCUAAUUUCCAUUUGGGUACAGAACAAGUUCCUUGUAAUAAUUAAUCGACAUUAAUAAAUAAUACACUAACAUGAUAAUUAAAUUUAAUUACGUCAAUUAAGGACACACACACACGCACACACAUACAUACAUACAUACCACUUGUAGCCUCCAACUUCAAAUUCUCCUGAUUCAUAUUCCUCUUCUGCUUUUUCCGCAAGUAAUGAAAAUGAUUUUAUUUGGACAAUGUAAUGAGCCGGUGGCGCUUUUGAAGUGGAUCUUUCACUAGCUAUUAAAGUAAUUUUAUACACCGAUUGAUUAAUUAGGAAAUAAAAUAAGCAGCUGAAGAUUUUAUGUAUAUUAAUUUGACCAAGAAGAGAAGGAGAGAGAACAGACAUUCCACGGAAAAAAACUCUUCCAAAUAAUUGUCGAAUGCACAUUCUGCCUCGUGGGAAGGACAAUGUAAUGAGCCGGUGGCGCUUUUGAAGUGGAUCUUUCACUAGCUAUUAAAGUAAUUUUAUACACCGAUUGAUUAAUUAGGAAAUAAAAUAAGAAGCUGAAGAUUUUAUCUAUAUUAAUUUGACCAAGAAGAGAAGGAGAGAGAACAGACAUUCCACGGAAAAAAAUUCUUCCAAAUAAUUGUCGAAUGCACAUUCUGCCUCGUGGGAAUUCUCGGACGGCGUUUCGCGACCGAAACGGCAGCGUUUCGAGGCAGCUGUCUUUUGAGGGUGGUUCAUGCUAAGUCCGAUGAUGGCUUCAGGAAUGCUCCGCUUGAUACAACUUAGUAGCUAAUAACUUUGUCCAAAUCCCAAAUAAAUAAGAGAAAUAAAUUUAAAUCCAAAUAAAAAUGGAAUUACAAAAACUGACUAAAAAACAAAGGCUAAAUAGGGUAAAUCCUGAUAAAAUAUGAAAAACUGCUUUUAACUAAUAAAAUUCGUAAGUAUCUCAUUUAAAUGUUACAAAUGAUCAAUAAAAUCUCACCCUUAAAAGUUGUGUGCCUUGCCCGCACUUGAUCCAAAAUAUAGAGUCCAAGUUUUGCAUAUACUUUUAACAGUCGAAUAUACCAAAAUCGAGAACAGCAGAUCAGCUUUUUCUUCAUGAAGAAUAUUAGCUUUUUUGCAUUUAUUUUCAUUACAAUAAGUUUCUUGCAACCACCAUGAAUUCAAUGAGAUAUUAGACGGCCGUAGUUCAGUAAUAAGAAAAUCUGAAUAUUAAAUGAAUUAGUCUGACUAUUGAUAUUCAUCAAAUUUCUGAAACUGGGUCAACAAUUUGCUUUUCAUUGUAAUCCAGCGAAGGAAAAAAAAAGUAAUAAUAAAUAAAGUUUGGUAGAUAAAUCAAAAGAAAAUCAUAUAAUAAUAUUCCAUGUGAUUGGAUUAAUUGUUUCAGUUGGUUUCACUGCCUUCGAUUUCUCUCUUACAUCCCAAUUUUCUUUGUACCAAUCACUUCUUUCUUUUUGGAAAUCAAAAUCUUAGAAGAAAGAAGAAUUACUGCCAAGAGCAUAUAAUAAAUCUUCACGUUCAUAGAUGCAUAAAAUUAGAUCACCAAAAUCACACUAAAAGUUAACUGGACAACUGAAACAAUAAGCAACAUAGCUAUAAUUUGGAAAUCCAGGAGAGAAAUAAUUUUCUUGCAAGCUAAAAUAAAUUUCCUAGAUUAGCCAGGAUGGCAGUCAGCAUCACACAAUAAAAGAACCCAAUUGGACGACAAGUAACUACUUGUUAUAUUGGCUCGGAAAUCCCAAGCACAGUGACCUCAGCCUCCACCACGCAAACGUCAUUCACUAGGAACCCAGUCUCUGGAUCAUUUAACUCACUCAAUGAAACGAAUCUUGGGCAGCCCCAGCUAGACUUUGGUGUAUGGAACCAGAAUUUAUCUGCUAGAGUAAAAGGAGCGCUCUCGUAAUAUUAUUUGGAUUUGCCUUCAAUUAAUUAAGCUGACUUACUAAUUGCAUGUAAAGACACACAUUUUACCUUGAAAAGAUUCAUGCUUUGCCCCAGUUGAUCCCAGAUUCGCAAUGUGAACUCUGCAUAAACUUGAACAUUCUCAACUGUGAAAUUUUCCAAAAUCAAAAACAUGGAAAGAUGAUCGGCAGCACCAAUGUCAAUUCCCGCGGGGUGGAGCUCUAUCUUCCUGAAAACAAUGAUUUGGAACUUAGUUGUAGAUUCACUAAAUACCUUGCCUCAAGAAGGUAUUUACAUAUAUAUUCUGAUUUGGAAAAAGAAAAAAAUUGAAGCUUAGAUACCAUUUGUGAUUUCCGGCACCGAACGCUUGUGAUUCCUUAUAUCCUGCGCCUAAUUUUGAAAAGUUGUCGAUCUUCCAUACAUACUUAGAACUAUAUGCAUAUUUUUCCAUGGAUAGGCACUCUCCUUUGACUCUGCUUCUUUCUUUAACAAAGACUUCAGCUCCAAAAACACAUGUAUCCUUGACAAGGUAUCCAUUUGUAGAAUCGUUGAAAGCUUCAAGUGGGAUGAACUGAUCCAAACCCCACUGAAGCUUCAACCCAUUAAACCGUCUUUCCUUUCCCAGGGCAUCUAUCACAUUACAACCGACCACUGAUUAUGCAAUUCUUUAUCUAAAAGACUAGAACAAAUUUUUGCUGCAGUAUUUUCUGUAUUUAAUUUGUAAAAUACUGACGACCACACUAGAUAAGUUUAUAAACAUAUCAUAUCGUCAAAAUUGUAAAAUGUACGUAGAUCAUUAGAAAAUAUGAUCAAGAUUAACAUUUCGAAAGUAGAAUAUAAUAUAACCUUGAACUACCAAGUAGAUAUCUUGGUUCUGAUCAAGUAAAAACAAACGAAAAACUGCAUAGACUUCCCAACCAAAAGUAAGUGAACAUGUAUCUGCCAUUUCUAGGUAGAGGGAAAUGUGAUCUUUCACAUUCUUGCUCUCUUGGGGUAUAUAACAAGUUUCCUGCAAUAAUUAAUUAAUCAACAUAAAUACACUAAUAAAUGAUACUACCAAGCAAAGACUAUCAUUCAAAAGUUAGGUUCAAAUCGUGAUCACAUUAGGGUUGGGGAGUUGUUGUUUUUUUUUUUUUUAAUCAUUAUAGUCUAACGGCAGCCCAAUUUUCUUGUCAUCUUUGAAAAGUGAUUUUGAACCCGGGAUCUGAUGUUUCACCACAAAAGAUUUUACCAAUUUAACUAAAUAACACUCAGCCCGUAGGUUGAGGUGUCGUUUGAUUAUUAAUAUCAAGAUGGAAUAAUAAUAAUAAUAAUAAUAAUAAUAAUAAUAAUAAUAAUAAUAAUAAUAAUAAUAAUAAUAAUAAUAAUAAUAAUAAUAAUAAUAAUAAUAAUAAUAAUAAUAAUAAUAAUAAUAAUAAUAAUAAUAAUAAUAAUAAUAAUAAUAAUAAUAAUAAUAAUAAUAAUAAUAAUAAUAAUAAUAAUAAUAAUAAUAACGAUAAUAACAAAAGAAAAGGUGGUGGCAUAAGUUAUUUAAUUUACUGCAAUAAAGGAACUAUAUAUAUAUAGAUAUAUAUGCACACGCACGCACGCACCACUUGUAGCCUCCAGCUUCAAAUGCUCCUGAUUCGUACUUCUUAUGAACUGCUUUUUGGGCAAGUAAUGAAAAUGAUUUUAUUCUUAAGCUAAAAAUGUACAAGAAUAUUGAAAAAUAUGAUAUUAUUUAAUCCUAAUUAAUCAAUAUACAUACACUAAUACCGUAACAGUAGUGGUUCAAGAGGUUCGGGUUCGAAUUCGGAUUACACUAGGGUCGAGGAGUUGCUUGAUUUAUAUCGCAAAAUGGGAAAAAUAAUAAUAAUAAUAGAAAUAAUAAAGAAAGGAAUGGUGGUGCCUUGAGUUAUUUAAUAUACGGCAGUCAAGAAAAUAAAUAUACGUAUCACUUGUAGCCUCCGGCUUCAAAGAAACUGUCCAUCUCUGUUAACAAGUUCUCCAAAGAAUUGUUGAUUUUUAUUGAUUAGAAAUAAAAUAAAUUAAAUUCUAUCCAAACUGAAAUUACAAAAACGACUGAAAUACGACCAGUUUGACUGAUUAUAAUUUCUAAUUGAAUUUUACCAAAACAGAACCAUGAUUAAUUGCGUACACCUUGCAUAUUAACAAUCAAAAGACCUCUAUGUUUGAUGAAAAUUUGGCAUGUGGAAAGUGUCAAUGUAGGAGCAAUGAUACCACUACCAGAAAAGAACAUAACCUUCCUCCCUAGUAUAUAAAUGUCAAACGAUUACAAGACUGCUAGCUAACUCUUAAAAGGUACUGAAGUCCAAAACAGAGCCACGAUUAUCAGUUGCUCAUUUACUGCAUUGACAAAUGAAUAGAAGCAUUAAUUUGAUCAUCAUCAUUAGUUCUGAAACGAAUUGGCUGACAAAAGGGAAACUAAAUUCUGCUUGGGCAAUGUGAAAAUACGACAAAGCAUACUAAAAUCAUGUGACGUGGGACCCGAAAACUUAUAACCACAACCCCGAAACAAAGUCUCAGAAAUUUAUAAAAAAAAUGAUACUACCAACCAUACUAAAAUCAUGUGACGUGGGUCGUCAAUCCUUGGUUCUUUUACUUUUUUAUUUUUUUAUUUUUUUCCAUUGACUUCAGAACUUUUUUUACUCCUCUCUGUGGCGGCACUUUACACUCGUCACUACUAGAAAAAUAGGUUAUUAUGACAGAAUUUUUGUGAGAUAUUUAAAAAUUAAUCAUUUAUCACAAAAAUAAGAUAGAUUCGUGAUAGAAUUUUUAUGUAUCAUAAAGACGUGAUAGAUUUGUAAUAGCUUAUUUAUCUAUCACAUACACAUGAUCGCAUAUUAAUAUUUAAUGAAACGGUGAGUUUUGAAUGGAUUAAUUUAGGCAUAGAAUGACAACGUAUCUUGAAACCACAAAAAAAAAACAAAAAACCAUAAGUGGUAGACUCUCCUUUGACUUCAAAUGGCAAACCCUAAUUUCUAAAUCACACACAAAAACAAAAUCACGUUGCUGACAAAAAAUUUGGUCCUCUACUGCGCUGCUUGCCGACAACAAAUUGCUACUCUUCGUCUUCGUCUUCGUCUUCGUCUUUGUUAAGGAAGCUCAUUUGAGCAAAAUGGUCAGCAAAGCAGAGGAUUGUAACAGUUGCAGUUCACAGUUACAAGUUGAUGACUUGGGAUGCCAGCUGGCACCUGGUGGUUAUAUAGUUUCUUGUACACGUGAAUAUUAGUUUUAGUUUUGUUAUAGUAGCUAUUAAGUAUGUUUAGCAUGUUUAGUUAGCUAAGCAAAAUUAGUUGUGUGUACAGCAGCUUAUUAUAAGAAAUAAAAUUAAAAAAUUGGCACAGCUAGGUCUUUACUUCCUCUUUUUCUUAUAUUAUAUUCUUUUGAUUUGAUUUGAUUUGAUUUUUCUGUGAUCUAUACGCCAUUUAUUUUGAUCGAUCUGAUUGCUAUUCUAUGAUGUUGUUUAUUUUUUGGUGAACCACUAGCUUUCAAUUGAUUUUGAUUUAUUUGCUAGAUCUAGGGUUUUGUAUUGGCUUAUUAGUUUAGUAGUUAUGUAUCGACAUGUUUUUUCCUUUAAUUUUGAUUUUUUUUACUUCUCUCAUUCUAAUUUAGAUAAUUUUAGGGUUAUGCUUGAAUUAAUUAUUCUUUUAAUCAACUUAGGGUUGGAUUUAAUUGAUUCUAAGUCUCAUCUCUGUUCCCAUUCAAAAAAUAAGUACGCACAAAUAGUUUUCAUUUUAUUCUCAGUCAUUGCCAUGUGAUAAUUUUGUUUCUUUGAAUUAAUUUAUUUAAUCUUCGGUUAAUACACUUCUCUUUGAAUUAAUUUUGUUUGUUUGAAUUAAUCAUGGCCAUGUGAUGGAGUUCAUUUAUCAUUGGGAAGAAAAAAGUAGAUGAGAAGGAAUAUCAUGUUCAAGAGAUUAAGGACAACAUGCUGGACUAAUUAUCGAUUAUUUUAAAAUUAUGUUUUGGCUUAAACUACCCAUGUCACUAGCAUUAUUUCAAAAUCUGAAUAACCUCAUCUCUUUCUCAGACUGAAAGGCUAGCAUAGCAUUGGGCUGUUGCCUUUACUAAUUGAGAAGUGAAGUUCUAAACAGUGGCUCUAUACUGGAAACUUGGUUUCAUCUGCGUUAAUACUUUUGGUAAUUUCAGAACAAGAACUGGAAUCUAAAUAAGUAGUAGAAAUUUUUUUAUGUAAUUCUCAAGAUUUUUGAUAUCCUGAAUUUAUGGAUUAGUUAGAUAUCUAAUUUCUUCACUUUUUAAAGUGGAAAUUACUAGUUGCUUGAUGAGUAUGAUAAGUUUACUGCAAAAUACUUGUCUAGGACGCCCUCUGCUAUGAUGGGCUCUAAUGUGUUGAUUUCUCUGAUUUCUGCCCUGGAAGAAACUUUCCAUUUCUCUAAUUUAUGUUGUUUUUUUUUUAACCAUUGUUGCUAUUUUAACUGCUAGCUUUUUUUUUUAUUGAAUUUAACUGCUGUUGGUUUUUUUUAUGGGUUGAUUAUGUAAUUUUAUUAGUUGUUCUUACAGUUACAAACAAUAUUAAUCCAAAUGUGCAUGAUUAUAUAUAUAUAUAUAUAGUUUGCAUUAAUAUUAAUGGAAUAAAGAUUGAAAAAGAUCAUAAGUAACCAUACCACACAAGUUGAGAUUGUGUGGAUAUUAUAUCUUCAAAAUACACACCCAACUAGCUCUGGUGAGCUCUGGAGACUUUAAACUCGUUAUUUGAAGCGUUUUGCUAAUAUCAUUCAUUUGGAUUAGUUGCAAAUAAAAUUCAUUGUUUCUAAUUAGUAGCUAAAUAAAUUCACUAUCCAUGAUGGAAUUCUCCUACAAUUUUAGGAUUAACAAAGAAGAAUCAUAUAAAAAAUUAUAAUAAUGAAGGAGCAAAAUAAGAUAUGGCCUGGGAAUUUGUUUAUGCCAGUAUAGCAAACGCCACAUAUAACUUCUUAAGUUACAAUAAACUAGGAGAAGGUAGAUUUGGGCCAGUGUACAAGUAGGGAUGGCAAUGGGGAGGGGAGGGGAGGGGAGGGGACCAAUCUCCCCGUACCCAUCCCUGAUAUUUUGUGUAUGUCCUCGUCCUCUCCCCGUUCCCGUCAUAAUUACUUGAGAGAAUCUCCACCCCCUCCCCGAAUAAUAACAGGGGAUCCCCGAGGGUCUCCGAUCCCCGAAUAACUAAUACAUUUUUGUUUUCGAUUUUGAGUUAAUCAUAUUAAAAUAAAAAAAUUCAAAUAAAAGUAAAGUUUGAAAUAUAUCUUACAUUAAUAUCCAUUAGAAAAGUCACAUACAUUAAAUUAGUAAGUAACGCAGCGUGUAAGGGAUACAAACUUAUUUUAUAAACUAUCGUGAAUAAAUUAAUAGUCUAAUACAAAAUGGUUACAAAUAAAAUCGAAUUUAGAUUCAAAAUUAACUUUUUCAAUGGUGGCGUGGGCACUUUAUAAAUGUGGACUAUUCCUUUUACAACACAAUAGUUAAGUCGGAGCAAAUCAAGAGCAAAUAUUAGAUUAGAUAUUAAAAUUGUGAUUCCCUGUGGGCAAUUAUAACAUCUAAAAAUAAAUAAAAAAUAGAUUUAAGUUUAAAACAUUUAAUGAAUAUUAAAAUAAAAAUAAAAUUUUUGGGCUAAUAGAAUUUACCCGGUUUUUUUAAUGUGCUAAAUAAAAAUUUAGGAUUUUAAUUAGUUAAUUAGGCCUAAAAGUUUAAUAAUAUAAAUAUUUUGAUAUUUUUUAUUUUUACCAAUAUUUAAAAUUUUAUAAUUCAAAUUUUAUUAUUUAUUUACUAGUAAUUUUAAAAAAUAAAAAUUAAAAUUAAAAUUAAAAUGGGGAAAUGGGUAGGGGAUGGGGAUUCUACCUCAUCCCCAUCCCCUCCCCGAAUAAGAAAUUGGGUAAAAAAAUUUCCCCGUCCCUUCCCCGAAUAAGAAAUUGGGUAUGAAAUUAUCCUCAUACCCUCCCCGAAUGGGGAAAAUUCCCGAGGGUACCCGUCCCCGUGGGGAUUUUUGCCAUCCCUAGUUUUAUUUUACUAAAACACAAAAUAUGAUUUUUUUUAUUAAAAAGAAAUUCAUAGUUAAUUUAUCUCCUUAAUAGAGUCUUGUUUUUGUGGAAGUAGUAAUGGAUGUAACCAUUAUUAAAUAACUUUUCAAAAUUAUAACAAUUAUAGACCUUAUCAUAAGAAAUCAAUAAGUGAAUAUUAUACAAACAUAAUUAGUAUGAAGUUGAAUCAAUAUUGAUGAUGGACCGGAAAUUCAAAUCCAAAAUCUUCACUAAUUUGGCUUAGUAACUUUCUUGUUCAAGUUUAAUAAUUUUUGUGAAACUGCUCCUAAAAUUAGGGAGAGCAAAGUGAUAUAUAUAUUUGAUGGACAAUAUAAAUGCCAUGUAUCACCUCUACCCCAUUUGAUUUUUAUAUGAGUUAAUUUAUUUAAACUUAAAGUUCAACAAGAUUAUUGUACAACGUGCAUUGUUGAUCAAUUAAUUGAUAAGCUCACUGACAUAGAGAAUUAAAAAAAAUUACCACUAAUAUGGGUUGAUGUCCUUGAAGGAUGAAAUGGUGAUACAAAAUAAAUACACAAAUGCCUGAAGCUUGCAUGUAAUAGAUCAAAUAGUAAAAAAUAAUUUAAAUCUUGAGAAAAUGACAAAAUCUUUUAAAAUAAUUCGGCGCUCCUAAAGAGACUAUGUUUGUAUAUAGAAACACAUUUGAUCUAUAGUUAGAUUAUUGAAUAUACUGCCCUAGAAAGGCAUACCAACUAAUAAAUGAAUCUCAAAUACUCUGAAAAAGGUAGAUACUAAGAAACAAAGAGAUUGAAAUUGUCCUAUAAAAGAUGCUCAUGUAUAUUAAAAAAGAGAGAUCUUCAGUUCUUGCAGAGAUAUAUGUAUUAGAAAUUUCGAAAGAUCUCAAUUGUGCAUAUAUAUUGAAAAUGAGAAAUAUUUAAUAAAUGUUGGUACUUGGUGCAAGAGAAAAAAUUGAAAUUGACAUUAAAUAUUUGUCAAUAAAAUAUAGUUGUUAUGAUAAAAAAUUUUUAGAAUUCUAAAUUAUAAAAUGUAUAGAUCAUCAAAUUAUAUGAUUGGCCAAAAUUGUAAAAUAUUUAGAUUUGUAGUCCAUACACUAAAUGACGUAAAAUUAAUUAGUAAAAUUUUAUGAAUUUUGGACUUGUAGUCCAUACACCUAAAGUCAUAAAAUUUAUUAAUAAAAUGUAAAUCUGAACUGUAGUAUGUCAAAAUUAAAUUGAAGAAUUUAUCUAAAAUUCGCAAUGAAUAGUCUGCAUAUACUUUAACAGCCUCAACUGCGGAAUCUGCCAAAGCCAAGAACAGAGAAAGAUGAUCGCCAUCACCAAAGCCAUUUCCCAUGGGAUAGAGCCGUAUCUUCCUGAAAAGAAUUUUAUGGAAUUUAAUUGUUCAUUCACUAAAAACUUUGUCCCAAGAACGUAUUUACAUCUAUAAUCUGAUUUAAAAAAAAAAUUUGAAUCUUUGAUACCAUUUGUGAUUUCCAGCACUGAACACUUGUGAUUCCUGACGUCCUUCGCCCAACUUUGAAAAGUUUUCAACCUUCCAAACAUACUUAGAACUAUAUGCAUAUUUUUCCAUGGAUAGGCACUCUCCUUUGACUAUGUUUCUUUCUUUAACAAAGACUUCAGCUCCAAAAAUACAUGUAUCCUCGACAAGGUAUCCAUUUGAAGCAUCGUUGAAAGCUUUAAGCGGGAUGAACUGAUCAAAACCCCAUUCAAGCUUCAAUCCAUUAAACCUUCUUUCCUUUCCCAUGGCAUCUAUCACAUUACAAGCGACCACCGAUUAUGCAAUUGCUUAUCUAAAAGACUAGAACGAGCUUCUGCUGCAAUAUUUUCUGUAAAACUUUAUAUGUACCAGCUAGACUGUAUUUAAUUUGUGAAAUACUGAUGAUCGCACUAGAUAAAAUUUAUAAACAUACGAUAUCGUCAAAAUUGUCAAACAUAGAUCAUUGGAAAAUAUGAUCAAGGUUAGCAUUUCAAAAGUAGAAUAUAAUAUAACCUUGAACCACCAAGUAGUUGUCUUGGUUCUGAUCAAGUAAAAAUAAACGAAAAACUGCAUAGACUUCCCAACCAAGAGUAACCGAACUUGUGUCUGCCACUGCUAAGUAGAGUGAAAUGUGGUCUUGCACAUUCUUGCUCUUAUUUCCAUUUGGAUAUAGAACAAGUUUCCUGCAAUAAUUAAUUGAUCAACAUAAAUACACUAAUUUAUGAUAUUACCAAGCAAAGACUAUGGUUCAAGAGUUAGGUUUGAAUCCUGAUCACAUUAGGGAUGAGGGUUGAGUUGUAGCAUUUUUCUUAUUAUUACUAUAGCUUAAUGGCAACCCAAUUCUCUCCCAUCUUUGUAAAGUAGGUUCGAACCCCAGAUCUCAUGUUUCGGCACAAGAGAUUUUACCCAAUUGAACUAAACGACACUCAACCCACAAGUUGAGGAGUUGUUUGAUUAUAUAUCAAGAUGAAAUAAUAAUAAUGAUGAUGAUAAUAACAAAAGAAAAGGUAGUGGCGUAAGUUAUUUCAUUUACAGCAAUAAAGGAAAAAAAAACUUAUAUAUGUAUAUAUAUACCACUUGUAGCCUCCAGCUUCAAAUGCUCCUGAUUCGUAUUUCUCAUCAACUGCUUUCUCCGCAAGUACUGAAAAUGAUUUUAUUUUGACAAUGUAAUGAGCCGGUGGUACAUGUGAAGUGGAUCUUGCAAUGGCUAUACAUUCAAGUAAUUUUAAUUAACACCCACUGAUUAUAAAUAAAAUAAACUGAAUAUUUUAAGAAUGUUGACCAAAAGAACAUGAAAGGUUUGAACAUACAUACCAUCUUUGUCAACAAAGACACUGUCCAUCUUUGUUAAAUUGUUCAUUUUUUUUUCUUUUUUGGUAAUUAAACUGAAGCCGGAGGCUGUAGACGCUACUUGGACGGUACUGUUUUUGUUGGCAAGGGCAAGGCACAAGGCUCUGCUACCGAUCCUAGGGAAAAAAAUGGACUAUUAUUUAUUAGGGUAACUUUUUUUUUUUUUUUGAAGAUAAGGUAACUUAAAAUUUACUUAAUUAUAUCCUAAAAAAUUAAGAAAAUAAAUUAAAUCCUAACUAAACUGAAAUUACAAAACAGCUCAAAUACGACCAAUUUGACUGAUUAUAAUUUCUAAUAUAAUUUUACCAAAAUAGAAUGAUGACUACUUGCCCCUUGCAUAUUAACAAUGAAAAAGAUCUCUUUGUUUGAUGAAAAUUUGGCAUGAAUUGAAAUUCAAACAUGGGAAAAGUGUUAAUGUAGAAGCGAUGAUACCAGAACAGAACAUAACCGUCCUCCCUAGCAUAUAAUGUCAAACAACAACUACAAAGACAGCUAGCUAGCUCUUCAAAGGUACUGAAGUCCAAAACAUAGCCAUAAUUACUAGUAGCUCACUUAUUGCUAGGGAUGGCAAUGGGCGGGCUCGGGGUGGAGAUCAUGAACCCCAAACCCAAACUGGUAGCAAUCUCCGUACCAUAACCAAAAAACUUUAACUGGGGAUAUCCCUGAUAAUCCCAUUUAUUUAUUUUUUAAAAAAUUGAUAAUUUUGAAUAUUCGGGUCCUUCAAAAAAAAUUAAUUAUUUUGCAUACAUAGCUUUGAAAAAAAAUUAAAAAUGAGCAAAUUAAUAGCGCAAACAACAUUUCAAACGAACGAAUUCAGCUAUCAAGCAUACCCGUAAUUAAUAACAAGAUUAUUUCAACACAAAACGAAUUGAUAAUCAUCCAUCAAGCAUAUCCGUAAUAAUAAAUCCAAUAUCACUGAACAAACUUGUACAAUAAUACCACUUAGUAAUAUUCAACCAAGUUUCAAAGAAUACGGCCUCGUCGCAAGUAAAGGCGCUAAUUUCUAAAAUUACCUUGACUGAUCAAAUGGCAGCUAAGGCGGUGACGGGUGGUUGAGUCCGGUGAGAAAUGAGAGCGCCGGCGAGAAAGGGUUAGCGGCUUGCGGUAAUGCUUGGUCUUUAGGCUAGAGAGGAAAGCGAUGUUAACGGCGCAAUCUUGGACUUUUGGUGUUGGACGCGACGGCCGGAAAGGGGAAGCUCCGUUGACCGUUGGAGACUUGGAGGUGGCGAUGUCUAGCGUUUUGAGAGUGGUGGGUUUCGGUCUGGGUUUUAGACUUUUAGUUUUGUGAUGCCUUUUUUUAUUAUUUGAUUAAACUUAUUCGGAAAGUGCGUCGAGUAAUUUUUUUAUUAAAUUAAAUAUUUUUAAUCGUGUGAAUUCAAAAUAUAUUUUACUUUUAAAAUAAAAAAAUUUGGGUUUCGAAUUCUUGAACCCAAAUGCAAAAUACAUUUGAGACUUGGACUUACUUUUGAAACAGAUCCGUUUUCAGUUUUAAAGCGGUUUGGGUUCAUAUCUGACCCGAAUUAAUCUAAACCAUCCCUACUUAAUACUUUCUUCGUUUCAACUACAUUUUUUUUUUUUUAAAUAUCAAAAUCUUAGAAGAAAAAAGAGGUAAAAGCCCAUUCAAUCUCUAUAUUUUAAAAUUAGUAUUCAUUUAGGCCCUAUAUUUUUUAAAAUAUCUCGAAACAUCCUUACCGUUAAAAUAUUGAUACCCAUACCGUUCCUUUUUAUUUCUUUUAGCUUACUUUUACAAUAUUACCCUUUUAUAAUAAUUUUUUUAUUUGAACAUUAAUAAAAAAUAAUUAAAUUAUCAAUUUAACUAAAAAAAUUAUAUUAAUUUUUAAUUGUCAAAAAUUGUAUGCAAAUUACCAAGCGUGCAAAUGGUACUUGCAAAAAAAUUAAUAUAAUUUUUUUUUUAUUUUUAAGGUUAAAUUAGUAAUUUAAUUAUUAUUUUUUAUUAAUAUCCAAACAAAAAAAUUAUUAUAAAAGGGUAAUAUUGUAAAAAUAAACCAAAAGAAAUAAAAAGUAACAAUAGGGGUAUCAAUACUUUAACGACAAAGAUGUUUCGAGGCAUUUUAAAAAUAUAAGGACUAAAUGGACACUAAUCUUAAAAUACGGGGACUAAAUGAACUUUUACCCAUAAAAGAAUUAGAGUAGGGGAUAUAAGGAAUUUCUCCCUAAAGAGAUGCAGAGAAAUAGAACACCAAAAUAACACUAAAAAGUUAGCUUGACAGCAUAAACAAUAAGCAAUGUAAGAGUUAUUUUGGAAAACCACAAGAGAAAUAAAUUUCCUGAUAGCUAAAAUAAAUUUCCUAGAUUAGCCAGGCAGUCAGCAUCAUACAAUAAAAGAACCCAUUUGGAAGACAAUUAAUUACUUGCUAUAAUGGCUCGGAAAUUCCGAGCACAGUGACCUCAGCUUCCACCACGCAAACGCCAUUCACUAGAAAUCUAGUCUCUGGCUCAUCUAACUCACCCAAUGAAACGAAUCUUGGCCGGCCCCAGUUAUCGCUUGGUGUAUGGAACCAGUCUUUAUUCUCUGCUAGAGUAAAAGGAACAUUCUCGUUAUAUUAAUGGGACUUGCCUCAAAAACUAAUUGCAGGUAAACACAGACAUUUUACCUUGAAAAGAUUUAUGUUUUGCCCCCACUUGAUCUAUGAUUCGCAAUGUAUGCUCUACAUAUAUGCUUUAGUCGCCUCGACUGCGGAAUCUCCCAAAGCCAAGUACAGAGAAAGAUGAUCGCCAUCACCACAGCCGUUUACAAUCUGGAGGAAUGUGCUUCACAAACAAAGAAACAAACAGACACUACCAGAAGCAACUAUGCAGUUACUGGUUCAGAAACACAAAACCUAGAGUCACUGAAAAUGGAUAGAACAAUUACUAUCUUUGAGUAAAGAAGCAAAACAACUAAAACCUAGCUUUGCCAGCUUUUGCGGCACGCAGCCCUUCAGUAAUUAGUGCAUCAAGCUACAGGUCCAUAACUCGCGUGUAUGAAUUUGAAAUUUAGGAGUCCAAUAAUGCAAGCGGUUUGAGUGAGAUAUUAUAACUGAAUUAUUGGCAAUUAAAACUUCAGGAAGUAACGGGUGUCUGAUAAGCUUCUACCUUCACAUUUGCAGCAACCACUGCCUAAUGUCCUUUUGUAGGACUCCAUCAAACCCAUUUCUAUUGUAGUUCAAACUCAACUGAUCAGAUCCAUUUGUCUGAAGAUGCCUAUACUGGGUUAUGGUUCCCGCAGGCCUUGGAUGCCGCAUCAUCAUGGCAAUGGUAGAAAAGGGUAGUUUAGGCCAUAUAUUUUUUGAUGAGCUAAACAGAUGUAAAUCAGAUUCCUUGUUUCUGGAUGUUUGGACUCCAGGAGUUUUUGGAUUGGAAGACUUCAUUCCAUGGUUGGUCAUGUUCAUGCUGGGGCCAUGUGGCAGUUUCUCAGGGGGACCAUGUAUCUGGGCAGAUGGUUUCAUACGGUCAAGCCAACGUAGAAUCCAGUUACCAACAUUUCUACCAACUUCUAUGUCCCUCUGUUGUAUGUUCCUAUGAAACUUGAGAGCAAUAUCAAAGGCAGCACGUACUCAGCUGUGGAAAAAAUCAAUGAAGAAUGAAGGUCAGUCUUCAAAAACAAUGGCAGUUCCAAGUUGGAGUAAUAAAUUUGUUAUUAUGCAAAACAAUUGUAGAAAUAACAGUAUUUGCCAGCUAGUAAUUGACAUAACAGCAGUAGUUAAACAGUAGAAUGGAAUCCAAUGAGCCAACCAGAGGGAAGAAUGCAAAGCUCGGGCAGUACCGUGGUCAGUAUCACACUGAGACUCUAACAGUGGAGGAUGUCCAAUUAUUGGUUUCAUAAUGCAUACUAAAUCAAUUCAAAGUCCAAAGUAUAGAAACAAUUAACUAAUUUAGGAUUUCAAUUUUAUGCAGAGGGUUUCAUGAAUAAUUACAACUGGAUCGGAAAGAUUCUGGAGCAAAAAAAUGUGCCCUGGUAAAUUACUGUCAUGAAGUAAAUAACAUCCUACAAAUAAACAUCAAAAUAUAACGGCUCAUUAAAAAGAAAAGCACAGAAGAACUUUCAAUCUAUCAUUUCAAAACAGUCUCUUUGAACUAAACAAGAGUACAGCUAUGACCUCCAGCUUUGGACGUUAGUACUUGUGCUUCUCCAAAAUCUUCACAUCACCUAAAGAGAGACAGCAAAGGUUUCUCAGGGGGACCACGUAUAUGAGCAGAUGGUUUCAUUUAGUCAAGCCAACGUAGAAUCCAGCAUUUCUACCAACUUCUAUGUCCCUCUCAUGUAUGUUCCUGUGAAACUUGAGAGCAACAUCAAAGGCAGCACGUACUCGGCUGUGGAAAAAAUCAAUGAAGAAUGAAGGUCAGUCUUCAAAAAACAAUGGCAGUUCCAAGUUGGAGGAGUAAUAAAUUUGUUAUUAUUCAAAACAAUUGUAGAAAUAACAGUAUUUGCCAGCUAGUAACUGACAUAACAGCAGUAGUUAAACAGUAGAAUGGAAUCCAAUGAGCCAACCAUUGGGAAGAAUGCAAUGCUCAGGCAGUACCGUGGUCAAUAUCACACUGAGACUCUAAGAGUGGAGGAUGUGCAAUUAUUGGUUUCAUGAGGCAUACUAAAUCAAUUCAAAGUCCAAAGUAUUGAAACAAUUAAUUAAUUUAGGAUUUCCGUUUUAUGCAGAGGCUUUCAUGAAUAAUUACAACUAGAUCAGAAGGAUUCUGGAAAAAAGAUAUGUGCCCUGGUAACUUACUUUCAUGAAGUUAAUAACGUCCUACUAAUAAACAUCAAAAUACAACGGCUCAUUAAAAAGAAAAGCACAGAAGAACUUUCAAUCUAUCAUUUCAAAACAGUCUCUUUGAACUAAACAAGAGUACAGCUAUGACCUCCAGCUUUGGACGUUAGUACUUGUGCUUCUCCAAAAUCUUCACAUCACCUAAAGAGAGACAGCAGUUUAAGAAUUUGCUCAUAAUAAUGAAAUUAGUUCUGGUAUCCGAGCAUUGUAGCUUGAUUGGAUAAUAAGUUCACAGGAAUACAUAUGAGACUCUCUAACUGCUUCACCUACAGGUACUACAAGAAGCUGGCAAACAAGUUGCUUUGACAUCAAGGGUUCAACAUAAUGCCAAAACAGCAAAAAACAUUUUGUUAAAAGUUUGGUAUAGCAAAUCUAAAAGAUAAGUUGAUUCAAAUCCCAUUAUGGUGCCACAGAUAAAACUAGUUGGAGGUUUGCAAAACUUUGCAAUAGAAAUUAGGCACCAAUCUAGUAUGAGAGAACGCAGGUUGCAGUUGCAGAUAUUCAACAAUCAACUGAGUUGAUAGUAACUUCUCUUAAUCUUUUAAGGAUUGGCUUUGCUCCAUAAUUGGUUAAAUCACAAAUUCAGCAACCUAGCCUAUCCAAUAUGUCAUAAGAUCACAGAUUUAGAAGCUGAUUUUAUUAUGAAAUGCACAGGGCCAUUCUAAGUCAGAUAGGAAUGAAUAAUUGCUUUCAGGGAAGAGCUCAGUGGUCUCUCAUAUUGCACAUGAUAUCAAGUCAAUGUGAACUAUUCACAUCAGUUUACAUCCAAGCUGAAGUAGAAGUGCCAGGAUGCACAAUGAACUAGUUGAAGUAGCAAACUAAAGUUUUUCCCUUCAUAUUCCUAUAUAAUUAAGACAGCUAAAAUACAGAUUGGUACUUUGUUAUAGCCGUAUUCAAACACAUAUUUUGACCUCUGUAUAACUAAACUUCAAUGGAGCUCAUUAGAUUGGAAGCAAUAAGUUCAUUGGAAUACCCAAGAUGGGGCACACUCAAACGUAAACAAGCAGAAUACAAUAGGUGCAUCUAGCAAAAACACUUCCAUUUUAAGAGAUGGUCUAACGGCAUGGCACUCAGACAGAAAAUUCAGACCAAGAAUAACAUUUUAUGAACCACCAUCAAAGUAACUUUUCAAAGAGAGGAUUAAUACAUAGGCAAAGACCAGCUAUCAUUAUUGUGGACACAUAGUCUAAGACAAUCCCAUGCCGUAGGAUGCGUGGCUGCAAUAUAUUGAACUCAGAUUUGACAAAAUCAACUCCACACAAUCCAUCAAAAUCCCAUUGAAGAAGCAUAAGAAGGUAGAAAUUUCAGCUGAAAAGUGUUUGAAGAAAGAGAAAUAGAAGAGAGAACAGUAAAAUAGGUAGUGAGAAGAGAGAAUACAAGGGAAGAGCAAGGAGAAAUUCUAUGAAUCAUUGACCCCAAAAGAAAACCAAAAUCCAUGCAAUGCCUCCCAAAAGAGCAUACGCUUUUAUGGUUUUUGACAGCAUAGGAUUGCUCCCUAAGGAAAUAUAUAAGUACAUAGAAGAUGCCACAAAGAAAGCUCACGUCUGUUGCUUCCUAUAUAGUUACUCCAUGGUUAAGUUCACACAACACUAGUUUCUAUAAGGUAAACCUGGCUUACUUUCACUGCAAUAUAUGAUAUGAGUAGACAACAACACAUAUAUCUGGAUAAACUUUUGAAAUCAGGUUUUCAGGAUCUUUUACAAAUUUGUAAUUUUAUUUACUUCACCCUCUCCCUAUUCUUAGAAAACCUAAAAUUUUGGCUCCUUCUGUCCGUUGCCUUUGCUAAUAAGCCGUUCUCUGUCUAGCCAAGCUGGUAGUAAGCCACAUUAUUACUCCAAGGAAUCAAUUCCUACCACAAUAAAACUACAUUACUCUCCUCUGCUUUCUUACAUUAGAUCUUUAGCAAGCAUCAAUAACCAACUUCCAAAUAACAAACACAACCAUACAGUUAAAUCAAAUUACCAAAAUCAAUUUCGAAAAAUAUCAUAAAAUCGUGAAACAAAGAACAUUGCAUUGCAAUGUAUUGUUAGUAUACCCAUAUCAGUAUCAUACAUAUCAUUAUCAACACCACCACCACCAUCAUCAUUAUCAUCAUAAUCCUCUUUUGACUCUAAAAUCACCAGCUCUUAUUGUCUUAACGAGCAUAGCUACAGAACCCAUUAAUGAAAAUUAAAACUUGAACUACCUAGCUUAAUCAAUAAAUACACUUCAAAAUGCCCAUUCCCAAUCUGUGACUCAUCCGCUAAUAACCCUAUUGAUAGCUGACCCAUCAAGCUACAAAUUAAUCAGAAUCAAACUCAAAACAAAGUAAUUAAAUAAUAAUAAUAAUAAUAAAACAACACAAAUAUACCGGUGAACAAAUUGACGAAUCCGAGGGUGCUUAGGGCUGAUAACGCGACGCUGAAUCCUCAAAGCAAGCCUGUAAGUCCGCUUCAGUCCCAAGAAAUACGCUGUUCCCAAUGUGAUCUCCCACAGCACCAUUCUCUCUCUUGCUAGAACUCUCUCUCUCUCUCUCACUCUCUCUGAGUCUCUCUCUGUGAGUGUAUUUAUGCACUUCUUUUUUCUAGUUUUAUGUUUAUUUAUUUUGUAUAUUUUUUUAUUAUAUUUUGACGUUUCUUUUCUCCCGAGUUAAAUCUAUGGAUUCUUUGAUUCAAGUCGCCAGAAAGUUCGAUCUUCGUUGCCCAUCACGCUUCGGUCUUGAGUGUUCAACUGUUUAUUCUGUGAGCUUCUGGAAAUUCUGAGGAAUUUAAAUUUUGCACCGAAUACAAAACAUGUGAUGAAAAGUCUAAAAUGCCCUUAUAUUGGAACGGCCAUAUGCACGCCUCUCGGCCUCUGCCUACAGUCCUACACCCAUUACAUAUGGUUGCGCGACCUUUUCUCAAGGUGACAACCAGUCUCGACCUCAAUGGUUACGUAAUUGUGGUACUCAUAUUCCUUCUCGAUCUACGUUUGGUUUUAUUUAAUUAAUUUUUUAAUUGCUCGAAUAUUAUCGAAAAUAUACAGAUUAUGAUUCGACAAUUUUUUAAUUAUUCCAUGACCAUCUAACUAUAAUUAAGCAAUUUAUCUACGUAUUAUAACUAGCAAGGAAUUAAAUUAAAAAAGUCUGUAACUUUUUUUUUUUAAAAAAAGAAAAAAUAACAAAAAAUUGAGAGAGAGAUAUAGCGGGAAAAAAAAAAGGUAUUUAGGUACUUAAGUUGUGUUGUUAUAUUGGAUGAAUGUAUUUCAUAGUAUUUUUUAUGGCAUUUUUAAAAUUUAAAAAAAAUAAUAAUAGAAAAAAAGCCCUCUACAUCUCUUCCAGGUUGAAAUUACCUAGUUAAAUAGAGAAUUUUAUUUUUUAAAAUAAAAAUUACGCCGCCGUUGACCGGCGUUAUCGAUGAUGAUCGCCAUCUUUUAUCGUGUUAAAUACAUAAUAAUGAUAAAAAAAAAUAGACGAUUUACUCAUUGGAAGUGUUAAUUUUGCAUAAAAUACACUAUAUAGUUGGAAAUAUGGGAGUUAAAAUAUUCCCAAAUAUUUAAAUAAGAUUUGAGGUAAAUAACAAUGUAUAUUAGCAUUUCUAACUCCAUAGAGUUGUAGAUCGGCUCACAAGGAUUCCAUUGGUACAUGUUUUGAUAGUGAAAUGCAUCUCCAACGAGUCUUCAGUGACGGUCUGGCGAUUCAACUUAGUGCUUUUUCUUUUUUCAAAUAAAUUAUCCUCUUAAGUUAAGAAAAUAAAUAUUAAUUAUUUGCACUUUAACUUAUUUAAAAUUAAUUUUAUUAGAGAAUAAUAAUGGAAUUUUUGUAUUCCAAUAGAUGAGAAAUUCGAAAUCCUUACCCAUUGAUAAGGAAUACAAAUUCUUCAAUAUGAUGGAAAUUUAAUUUUAAUGAAAAUUCAAUUCUAUUGAAUUUGGUCCAACCAAAUAGUGGAAAGUGAAAAAGAAAUCAAAUUCUUUUCCUCUCCCCACUCCUCUACCCCCAAGCAAACAUGGCCUAAGUGUUAAUUUUCAGAUGAGGCAUUUAAUUAAUUAGAUGAUAUGAGUAAAGAUAUUAACAAACAAAUCAUUUUCAUAUGAUAGAAUUUCUUUUGCAUCAACUAUAUCACACCUGUGUAUUUUUGGACCCUAAUUAGAUAUAAUUAUCCUCAAGUUUGGACGUCUGUCUGAUCAUAGCUUAAAUCCAAACUUGGUAGGGACGUUUGGACCGAAGCACCAUUUCAAAGAACAUACCAACUUGUUUUUCCAUUGCAACAAUUUCCUCCAAAUUACUAUAAUUCUUCAAGUACCUAAACUAGUACCGAAGAAAGUUGAUUAUAAUAAGAUUUUUCUAGGGUUAGAGUUCUCUCGAGAGUAAUAUUUUUCCUUUAAAAUAUCUAAAAGGGACCAUGGUAUAUAGAAGCAUAUCAAGGUUAAGGGUUUAUACAAUUUAAGAGUAAAUUUUCAGAAAGAGUCAAAAUGACUAUUGAUAUUUAUCAAAUUUUGGAAACUGAUGGUUGCAAGAAUGGAAUGGAAAGCUAAGGGUAAAGAAAAGGGGAAUAUAAUGGGGAAAGGAAUAUUGAUUUCUUUAAAUUGUUUGGUUUGGUCAAGGAAUAUUGAUUCUUUCGUUUGGUUACAAAAAUGGAAUGGCAAGGGGAAAGAAAACAACUAUAAUGCAAAUGAAUAAAAAUAUCCUCCACUAGAAAAUGUAUAUUUCAUCGAGUUGAAGCAAUAUCUUAGUUGUUUUGUUUUUUACUACCAAAUAUUAUAUAAUUAACUUGCAAAAGUUAGGUUCAAUUACGUAUUGUGGUUGAGCAGCACUUAAGUGUUUGUUAAAUUUCUUUUUUUAUGUGAUUUGAGAGUUAAGUUUUUUUUUCUCUUAUUUAUAUAAAGGCAUACUUUCAUAUAUGAUAAUUAAGUGCAAGAUUGUGUAAAACACACCCAAGAUUUUAUUUUUAAAAGGGGCUGACACUAAAUUAGGUCUUCUGCUCUAACCCCUACCUUAGAUCUCCCAAAUCCUGCUUUAGAGGACCCCAUCUCUUUCUUCACAAAUUUGGCAAAUUCGUUGCCAAUUGCAAUUGCAUCCAGUUUAGACAUUUUCCCUGAAUGACACUUUAUUAAAACAUCCUUGGAAAAGUAUUUGGAUGCAUAUCCCAACAUUUUAGGAUGAUUUAAUUUUACUAAAUUAAUUAAAAAGUAAGGGGAAUAAAUGAUUUUUUCUGGACUAGAGCCCAGUCUAACCCACGUGUGGGUCUGCCACUAAGUUUACUAGUUGCGACUAUAAAGCGAAAUACAAAGAGGACAAAAGCAAUAGUGAAUUAGAUAUCUCAUGCUAAACCCAUAAGGCGGCAUCCGCAUGUAAUCUCCAUGUGGAGACUUAAGAGCCAAUUAACCACCAAUUAUCGAGCGUCAGCAACUGAAUUUCUUUGCCAAAAGAGGUGGGUCCAAUGAGAUCAACUCUUAUUAUAAGAUAUAAAAUUAAAAAUUGGCAUCCCAAUUUUCUUGCAAGAGUCACAAUGCUUAUUAGAAUAUAUAUUACAGGGCUUUGGAAAUUCCAAGCACAGGCAUCUCUGCUUCCACAAUACACACAUCAUUCACAAGAAAACCAUUUCCUGCCUUGUUCAGGUAAUUGAGUUCAACAAAAUUUGUCCAACCCCCAAAUUUAUUUGAGGUAUUUAACCAUUCUCCAGCUGCGAACACGACAAUAGAAACCUUGAGUUAUUUGCAUUUAGCUACAAAACUUAUUGAACUGAAUUACCUGUUAAAGUCUGGGUUUAUAAUAAUUUACCUUUUUUUUCAUAAUGCUUUGACAGCAAUUGAUUCCGGAUUCGCAGUGUAAAAUGCACGUAUAUUUUAGAACCACCAGUUAUAGUUGACAAGUCAGUCAAUACCAAGUACAUAGAAAUAUGACUGCCACUAGCUUCUCCCAGUCCUUUGGGAAAGAGUAGUAUCUUCCUGAAGAAAAAUCAAGGGUAAAGUUUAAGUCUCUGCAUUCAAUUGUAUGUAUUAUCAAUACAUUAACUUUCAGAUGUGGCAUUUAGAUUAUUUAUAUGAAUAGAGAAACAAACAAAUUUUAACAAUUCAUUUUACAUUAUACAUUUGAAGAAGUGGUUUUAACAUGAUACAUCUUUUUAACAAGUUGUAUUAUUCAAAACUCAAAAGAAUUUCUUUUGCAUCAGAAAUCUAUUGCAGAGGUACAAAUGAACCUUAAAGUGUUAGCCAUGCUAGGGUCUAGAUUUAGUCUAUGAUAUAUUAGAGUUUAAAUUGCUGUUAAAUGUAGAACUUUGAUCAUAUUUUAAAUCCGAAUUUUAUGAACUCCGAAUGUUCGGAUUUGAACACCAUUUCAGAAAGUAUACAUACCACUUUUGAUCUCCAGCAACGAAUACUUCUGAUUCGUAAAUAUUGUCCGGUAACUUUGAAAAGUUCUUGAUCUUCCAAACAUGCUUAUAAUUGGAGGCAGAUGUCAAUUUCUUCAUGGAAAGGCACUCUCCUGUGCAUUUUUUCGUUUCUUUAACAAAUACUUCUGCUCCAAAAACACACGUAUCUCCCAUAAGAUAUCCAUUCGAAGCAUUAAUAAAUUCUUCAAGCGGGAUGAAUUGAUCAAAACCCCAUUCAAGCUUUAAUCCAUGAAAACGUCUUUGUUUACCCAUGGCAUCUAUCACAUGAAGGUGACCGGCCCAAAUCAUUGGUCAGGUCUCACUUAAAUAAUUCAACACAAAACAAUCAUAAACAUUAUUGAGUGUUUGAGUGUAAUAACUAACCUUGAAGAAUCAAGAACUCGUCUUUCUUCUGAUCAAGCACAAAUAGGCGGAAAAUCACAUAGACUUCCCAACCAAGGCCAAGUGAACUUGUGUCUACCAUAGCCAAGUAGAUUGAGAUGUGGUCUUUCACAUUUUCAUUUUUAUUUCCAUUUGGGUAGACAACAAGUUUCCUGAAACCAUCAUGAAUUCAAAAUAACAUAUUAGAUUAUGAUAUGUAAUUUAGUAAUAAGGUGAUCUGAAUAUAGUGGAGUAUCAAGGAGAAUAAUGGAAGAGAUUGCUGUCCGUAACUUAUGGAGAGUAUCAUGGAGCUUGAGAUUAUCUGAUAAAGGGGAGCUGAGAAAGAGUCAGAGAACAUACCAACUUGGUCUACAAAGUCAUUUUCCAUUGCAGCAAAUUCCUCCAAACUAUUAUAAAUCUUCAAGUACUAAAACUAGUACUAAAGAAAGAUUGAUUAUAAUAAGAUUUUUCAAGGGUUAGAGUAUUCUCUCAAGAGUAAUAGUUGUUCUUUAAAAUAUCUAAAAUGGACCAUGGUAUAUAUAAAGCACCAAGGUUGAGGGUUUAUACAAUUCAACAUUAAAUUUUCAGAAAGAGUCAGAAUAACUAUUGAUAUUCGCCAAGUUUUGGAAACUGAUGGUUGCAAGAAUGGAAUAGAAAGGGGAAUGCAAUGGGGAGAAGGGAUAUUGAUUCUUUAAUUUGUUUGGUUUGGUCAAGGAAUAUUGAUUUCUUUGCUUGGUUGCAAGAAUGGAUGGUAAGGGGCAAGAAAACAACUACAGUGCAAAUGAACAAGAAUAUGUACCCUCCACUCAAAAAACGUGUAUUUCGACGAGCUGAAGCAAUAUUUUAGUUGUCUAUUUUCUAUUAUCAACUAAUAUAUAAUUAGCUUCCAAAAUUUAAGCCCGAUUUAGGACUAUGUUUCAGCAGCACUUAAGUGUUCUGUAAAUACUUAUUGAUUUAAAUUCAUUUUAUUUUACACUCGUAAGAUAAAAAAAAGUCUAUAGUACCUUACCUAUUGCGACUGGCAGAAUACAGAGAGAAAAAAAAAAGCAACAAUAAAUAAGAUAUCGCAGGCUAAACUCAUAAGAAGGCAUCCCCAUGUAGUCUCCAUGUGGAGACUUAACAACCAAUUAACCGCCAAUUAUCGAGCGGCAACAAUUGAAUUUCUUUGUCAAAAUAUAUAGGUACGAUGAGAUUAACUCUUAUUAUAAGAAAUACAAUUAAAAAACUUGGCAUCCCAAUUUUCUUGCAAGAGUAGCAAUGCUUAUUAGAGUAUAUUACAGGGCUUUGGAAAUUCUAAGCACAGACACCUCUGCUUCAGCAUUGCACACAUCGUUCACAAGAAAACCAUUGCUUGCCUUAUUCAAGUAACUGAGUUCAACAAAUUAGUGCCAGCCCCAAUCUUUAAUUGAGUUCCUAAACCAUGUGCUGGCUGCAGGAACAACAAUAGAAACCUGAAGUCACUACUAGAAAAAUGGCUUUUACUGACACUCCUCUUCUGACACUUUUCUAAAAAGUAUCAGUAGUUACAUAUAUUUGGGUCAUUUUCCGUGUUUAACAGACAAGUUCACAAGUUACUAAUUCUAUGGUGUUUGUAGAUUAAACAUAAGAGAUUAUCGACACUAUGGUAUCAGAAAUAACAACAAAAAAGUCUAUUUUUGUUUUAAUUGCUACUCGAACCUAAGACCUCAAAACUGGAGUGCUUUAUGUUCAAACAACAAACCACCAGGCCAAAUUCGUAUUUUAGUUUAUGUUGAAAAUGUUCAAAUUAUCAUAUUAAAAUAACAACAAUAUAAAGCAAAAGCAAAAAACCCUAAAAUCAACAUAAACAUAAAAUUCUCUAACUUCUAAUUCUAUGGCCAGCCGCCUCAUCUCUCUGGCAAGAUCCUUCUUCUUCUUCGUACCUCUAAAAAUUCUCCCCUUCGAGCCCUAAAAUUCAAGGGUCCAUGCCAUGGGAAAUCCUAACAACAUUGCUCAAAUUCUAAGACCCAUACCAUACGAAACCCUAACGAGCUACAUGAGGUUGCGAAACAUCCACCAUGCCACUAUGCCACAAGCUCAGAAGAUCCUCUUUAGAUCUCCACAUUUUGCUCACCCUACUCAAGUGCGCACCGCCCCUCUCGCUUCGACUUCUCGGGAUUUCUUGUUAGCUGAACUUUUGUUUUCUUCUGCUAAUUUGAUCUUCGACUGCCGUAUGGUUAGAUCGGUUCGCUUGGACUCCAUCAUGAUGGACAAAUCAUGUGCGAGGCCUAAGACACUGUUGUUAAAGGUCGAAUCACUAUUUUAGCCUCAAUUGAGAUUUUAAUUUGUUCAUCUAAUUGGAAAAUUAAUGCUUUGAAUUGUAUUGUGUUAAUUUCUUUGGAUAUGCUUAACUGAAUUAUUGCAUACUCAACUAAAUUAAAGGUUAGAUCAUCAUUUCUUAGUUCAAUCUGUAGUUUUAUUUUUUAAUUUUUAGGUGGUAGUUUGCUGAUGUAUUAACUUUAUACUUGUAUGAAGGUAAAUAGAAUUGCAUUGGCUAGGACUCACAGAACAUGUAAUUAAUCACUGUAAAUUGAUUCUUAAGCUAGUUUCCUGAAGGCACUAACAUUGGGUAAAGGUUUUUCAUGUUUAGAUAAUUUCAUUCAAAUUGGAUUAAUAUACCCUAGCGUAGCUAGUUCCUGUGCGACUUAUUGACACGAAAGGACAAUUUAAUUCAAAGUGAACUAAUUAAGCAAGCUUUUCUUUUUAAUUUAGGUUAAUAUGAUCAAGUUGAGGUUAUCAUCUAUUUAUGAAUAUCAUUUCUUCCAAACGAUUAUUUCCUUAUUCCUCUAAUGUGUUCAGUUGGAUACUAAUACUUUCUACAAUGAGUUAUGGAAGAUUGCUCUGAAAGCGAAGACUUUGGCAGUGUGAUUGUUGUCGAUAUUAGGGAAAUCCAUUAUGCUUUUGUGGAAUUUGUGGAGCUUUGAUUACAACUUAUGUUAUUUCUCUUCUCGUGUAGGAAAUAUGAUCAUAUAGUUUCAUAUUUACAAACUCUUUCCAUAUGUUAUUGUACCAUUGAGGCUUACACAAUGACACAACUUAAAAACUUUUAAAAUAGUGGAGAAGAUCAACUUUUUGUUUUACAAUAACAUAAUGUUUCUAGUAGUUAAUUUUAUUAUCUCUUGUCUUCUUGCAAUUUAUUGGAACUAAUUCUUAAUUUCAAUAUGAGGUAUUUUCUUCGAUUUGGUUUCUAUCAGCAUGAUCUAUGUUAACAUGUUACAGACCAUGUCACUGUUAGAAGUGGUGGCCCUGGGGGCCAGAGUGUGAACAAAAGUAUGCUAUUCACUUUUUCAUUUUCACCUAUAUUCCCUUACAAACUUGGCCUCACGACUUCUACCAAGGUUGCUUUUAUUUAAUCUUACAGCGAACAUUAAGGUUUUUCUGUUGAAUAUCAUAAAAAUCAUAUUUCUUUUAUUUUAUAUGCAGGGGAUUUUGACAACUCUGUCUAGGAUACAAGUAUGACUAUGUGACAUAUCCAUUUCUUGUUGAAGUUUUCAUGGUAAUUCUAAUUCUGUGGCUUUGGUUGGUGAUCUUUUAGCUUAAUGAGUUAUUGCAUUUUAAAACUUUAAUGCUAUUUAAAACCUCUAUUUUGGUUGAGUGUGCAUUUCUUUUACCUAUUAGCUCUAAUCAAUCAUCUCUACACGAUUUAACAGAUAUGCACUUGCAUACUUUCUUAACCUGUGUUAGUUUACUAUAAAAUUUUGCCUUAUAUAUUUAAAGGUUUUGUUUUAUCUUUAUUUAUAAUUACUUUUUUCUUUCUAUAUGGAAAACCCUAAUUUUGAUUUCCUUUAGGGUUGAAGUUUUUGGUUGGAGCUGGGCUUUAUGAAAGAAAGCACAGAAGAACUUUCAAUCUAUCAUUUCAAAACAGUCUCUCUGAACUAAACAAGAGUACAGCUAUGAUCUCCAGCUUUGGACGUUAGUACUUGUGCUUCUCCAAAAUCUUCACAUCACCUAAAGAGAGACAGCAAUUUAAGAAUGUGCUCAUAAUAAUGAAAUUAGUUCUGGUAUCCGAGCAUUGUAGCUUGAUUGGAUAAUAAGUUCACAGGAAUACAUAUGAGACUCUCUUACUGCUUCACCGACAGGUACUACAAGAAGCUGGCAAACAUGUUGCUUUGACAUCAAGGGUUCAACAUAAUGCCAAAACAGCAAAAACAUUUUGUUAAAAGUUUGAUAUGGCAAAUCUAAAAGAUAAGUUGAUUCAAAUCCCAUAAUGGGCACACAGACAAUCUAGAAUGAGAGAAUGCAGGUUGCAGUUGCGAAUAUUCAACGAUCAACUGAGUUGAUAGUAACUUCUCUUAAUCCUUUAAAGGAUUGGCUUUGUUCCAUAAUUGGUUAAAUCACAAAUUCAGCAACCUAGCCUAUCCAAUAUGUCAUAAGAUCACAUAUUUAGAAGCUGAUUUUAUUAUGAAAGGCACAGGGCCAUUCUAAGUCAGAUAGGGAAGAAUAAUUGCUUUCAGGGAGGAGCCCAGUGGUCUCUCAUAUUGCAUAUGAUAUCAAGUCAAUGUGAACCAUUCACAUCAGCUUACAACCAAGCUGAAGUAGAAAUGUCAGGAUGCACGAUGAACUAGUUGAAGUACUAUUCUAAAGUUUUUCCAUCCAUAUUCUUAUAUAUUUAACGCAAAUAAAAUACAGAUUGGUACUUUGUUAUAGUUGUAUUCAAGCACAUAUUUGGCCUCUGUACAACUAAACUUCAAUGGAGCUCAUAAGAGUGGAAGCAAUAAGUUCAUCGGAUUAGCCAAGAUGGGGCACACUCAAAAGUAGACAAGUAGAGUACAACAGGUGCAUCUAACAAGAAAACUUCCAUUUUAAGAGAUGGUCUAGUGGCAUGGCACUCAGACAGAAAAUUCAGACCAUGAAUAACAAGUUAUGAACCACCAUCAAAGUAACUUUUCAAAGAGAUGAUUAAUACAUAGCCAAAGACAAGCCAUCAUAAUUGUGGACUGUUCAAAGAGAUGAUAAUACAUAGGCAAAUACAAGCCGUCAUAAUCGUGGACACAUAUCCUAAGAUAAUCCCAUUCCGCAGGAUGCAUUGCUGCAACAUAUAGAAUUCAGAUUCGACGCAAUCAACUCCACAUAAUCCAUCAAAAUCCCAUUGAAGAGGCAUUAGAAGGUAGAAAUUUCAGCUAAAUUUUUUUUGAAGAAAUGGAAAUAGAAGAAAGAAUCGUACCAUAGGUAGUGAGAAGAGAGAAUAGAAGGGAAGAGCAAGGAGAAAUUCUAUGAAUCUUUGACCCCAAAAGAAAACCAAAAUCCAUACAAUACCUCCCUAAAGAACACACGCUUUUAUGGUUUUUGAUGGCAUAGGAGUCUGCUGUACCGUACAUCCGCCUUGGCCGUACAGCAGACUUACUCAAGUCUGUAACAUUGCCAUGGCUAAAUAGAAAUUUCACUUUCCUUGCCAAGUGAAAGAAAGGAGGAAUUUUGAUGUAAUCAAUGCUUGGUAAGGUCUAGACAGUAGUAUCAAUCAUACUUCCUAUGUACAAAAUUUUCUUCACUUGGUGUUGGAAGCAAUUGUUAUUGUUGCAGUCCUGUUUUAUUUAUACCUAGAGCAGGUUCAGGAUUGAGAUGUUGUUAAUAUUUUGGUUUAGUUAAUUAUUGAAAUUCAUAUUCUUGUCUUAAGAACCAGUUUCAAUGACUUUGUUUGAAUGUUCAAAUAUUUGUGCAGGAUAUUCGUAUGCUCUAAACCUUCUGUAUAUAUUUCUCAACUUUUGAUGAGCUUACAAAGCAUGGACUCUGUAUUCUGAUUGCUGCAUGUUUCUACUCUUUCUUCCUUUGUUUUAAAGCAUGAACUCUGUAUUCUGAUUGCUGCAUGUUUCUACUCUUUCUUCCUUUGUUUUAAAGCAUGAACUCUGUAUUCUGAUUGCUGCAUGUUUCUACUCUUUCUUCCUUUGUUUUAAAGCAUGAACUCUGUAUUCUGAUUGCUGCAUGUUUCUACUCUUUCUUCCUUUGUUUUAAAGCAUGAACUCUGUAUUCUGAUUGCUGCAUGUUUCUACUCUUUCUUCCUUUGUUUUAAAGCAUGAACUCUGUAUUCUGAUUGCUGCAUGUUUCUACUCUUUCUUCCUUUGUUUUAAAGCAUGAACUCUGUAUUCUGAUUGCUGCAUGUUUCUACUCUUUCUUCCAUGUGCAAAGGAAGGAUUAUAAGCCAAUAUUCAUAAAAAUAACCAUUCCAUAGUCAUAUUAUAAGUUAUAAAGUUUAAGUCAAUAGAUUUCACAAUAAUUUGUAUGCAACCGUAACUGCAAUUGUGGGAAAUAAAUUAGGAUAAAUAUCAUCUCAACCAUAACUGCCAUUGGAUUAAUUAUAGUCAUAUUAUAAGUUAUAAAGUUCAAUUUAAUGGUAAUUACGUCAUUUUUUUAUUUUUGUUAAAUCAAGUUUUUUUUUUUAUGUUUGAGUUUUGUGUUGUGAAUUUGAUAAAAGUUUAUUUCUGUUAACCAUUGUUUCUCUCACAUGGUUGGAAAUUAACAAGCAAUUUUUUUCCCUUUUCCAUGUAUUCAUUUGCAGAUUUGAUCAAUGUGUUUGAAGUUUCUUUUUCCUCAACUUCACUUGUAUUCUAACCCAUCCACUAUUGAAUGGAGAAUGGAGAAGCUACUGUUGUGUUAACGUAAUUGCACUACUUAUGUUCAAAGAGUGGAGGCAAUCAUCCUUUUCAUUUUAGAUUCUAGAAAUGUUAAAUUUAGCCACAACUAGUAGGCAUCUGAUUAGAUGUGGCAGAAAUUUUUAUGUAUUUAAUUUAGAUUAUUCAGUUAUGAGAGUGAGAUUUCUCAUCUCUUGUUUGUUGGAGUGUUGGAAUUUGUAAUGUGUACUAACGGUAUUUUUAGUGCACUUGAUCCUGGAUUUGCAGUGUGAAACAACGGUAUUUUUAAAACCACAGAGUUACAGUUGAGAAGUCAGCCAAAUACCAGGUGCAUAGAAGUAUGACUGCCAGGUCCUUCUCUCUGUCCCUUGGGAUAGAGGUAUAUCUUCCUGAAAAAAUGAACAAGGGCAAAGUUUAAGUCUCGGCAUUCAAUUGUACAUAUUUACUAAGAGGUUCCACUUUAACAAAUUAUUAAAACAUUAACUUUCAAUUGUGCCAUUUAGAUUGUAUAUAUGAACAGACAAACAAACAAAUUUUUGCAAAUCAUUCAGAGAAGUGGUUUUAACAUGAUGCACCUUUUUAACAAGUUGUACUAUUCAAAUUUCUUAUGUAUUACCAUUAGAAACAUAUCGCACAAGUCUAAAUGAACCUUAAGUAUUAGUCCUGUUCAGGUACAGAUGUCUAGAUUAGGCUAUUAUAUAUUAGAGUUGUGCAUCGUUAUAAAAUGUACAACUUUGAUUAUAGUUCGAAUCGAGAUUUCAUAAACUAUGAACGUCUGGACUUGAGCAUCAAAUCCAGAUUUUGGUCUCCAGCAAUGAAUAUUUCUGAUUCGUAACGCUUUGAGUGCAACUUUGAGAGGUUCUGGAUCUUCCAAACAUGCUUAUAAAUGGAAGCAGUUGUGAAUUUCAUCAUGAAAGGCACUCUCCUUUGCCUUUGUUCCUUUCUUAGCAAAGACUUCAGCUCCAAAAACACACGUAUGUCCUUCAAGAUAUCCAUUCGAAGCAUCGUUAAAUUCCCAAUUGAUCAAAACCUAAUUCAAGCUUCUUUCAUUUCCCAUGGCAUCUAUUUCAUGAAGGUGACCCCAAAUCAUUGAUUAACUCUUAGUUAAAUAAUUAAAUAAGAACAAAAUAAUCAUAAACAUUGUUGAGUAUAAUAAUUGACCUUGAAGAAUCAAGAACUCGUCUCUUUUCUGACCAAGCACAAAUAAAAAUCUAAUAUCUAGUUCACUGUUGUGGACUGUUAUGACCAUUGAUAUUCACCAAAUUAAUUAUCUUAUUUUGCAGUAACAUAUUUUUGUGAAACGUAACAAAGUAGUACUUUAGCUACUGAUCCUUUUUUUUAGUUUAGAAACUACUUCUUUUGAAUUCUUAAACGUCCAUAAAUGAUAUUCCUUUUAUGUAAUAUUAAUUUCUUGCUUUAUUGUACUCAAUUUAUCUUAUCAAUACUUCUCUUUAAUUAAAAACUACGAGUUUUUGUCACCAUCUCACUUGUUAAUAUUUGAUAGAUGUGAUUUUAUUCCAGGAUUAAGAUUGUCAGAGAUUUCCUUCCAGGAUUAAGAAUUAUGUCAAUGAACAAACGUGAUCACAUAAGUUAGCCAUAAAAUCAAUGAAUUUCUUUAUUUCGUGAGAAACCAAGAAGAAUACUUGUUAUUACAAUGCCUCGGAGAUUCUGAGCACAGUGAUCUCAGCUUCCACAACGCAAACGUCGUUCACAAGUGACCCAUUCUCUGGGUCAUUUAACUUACUCAAUGAAACGAAUCUCGACCAACCCCACUUAUUAUCGCCUGGUGCAUGGAACCUUUCUCUACUUCCUAGAGAAAAAGAAUCAUUCUCAUUAUACACAUUAUUUGAAUUCUAUAGCCUCAAAUUAAGUUUAUUAUUAUUAUUAUUUUAGGUUAAAGGUACUUUUAAAAUCAAAAGUUAAAGAAAACUGCUUAGAAAAUCAAAAUCACUCGGUCAAGCUGCCAGUGGCAACUAAAUUAGUUGCGUAUUAAAACAAGCAAUAUGCCUUAAGAAGAUUCAUGCAUUGCCCGAACUUGAUCCAAUAUUCGAAAUGUAAACUCUGCGUAUACUUUAACAGUACUCCGAACUGUGGAAUCUCCAAAAACCAAGAACAAGGAAAGAUAAUCACCAGCAUCGGGCCCAGCUCCCAUGGGUGUAGCUCUGUCUUCCUGAAAACACCGAAACGGUAUUUCAUUAAUUGUACACUCACUGACAACUUUGUCCCAAGAACUCAUUAUUUAUUAUACCUGUAGAAAUUUAAAAAAAAAAUUAAAAUCUUUGAUACCAUUUGUGAUUUCCGUCGUCGAAAACUUGUGAUUCCUCAUAUCCUGCGUCUAACUUUGAAAAGUUCUCGAUCUUCGAAAUACACUUACAACUAAUUGAAAUUUCUUUGAAUUUGUUUCUUUCUUUAACAAGGACUUCAGCUUCAAAAACACACGUAUCUUCGACAAGGUAUCCAUUCGAAGCAUCAUUGAAAGCUCUAAGCGGGAUGAAUUUAUCGAAACCCCAUACAUGCUUCAGUCCAUUAAACCGUCUUUCCUUUCCCAUGAUAUCUAUCAUAUUACAAGCAACCACUCAUUAUGCAUGCAUUCAAUUUUUUUCCUAAUGUUGCAAUAUACAAUUCUGCACACUAAAUUUGAUUUAACCUUGAACUACACAGUAGUUUUCUUGGUUCUGAUUAAGUAAGAACAGACGAAAAACUGCAGAGACUUCCCAAUCCAAAGUAAAUGAACUUGUGUUAUUAAGGAUAAGAAAAUAUAUAUAUGUACCACUUGUAUCCUCCAACUUCAAAUUCUCCUGAUUCAUAUUCCUCUUCUGCUUUUUCCGCAAGUAAUGAAAAUGAUUUUAUUUUUACAAUGAAAUGAGCCGGUGGUAGUGAAGUGUAUCUUGCAAUGGCUAUACAUUUAAGUGAUUUUGUAAUUAACACCGAUUGAUUAGAAAUAAAAAUAAGCUGAAAAUUUUAAUAAUAUUGUCCUCUAGAGAACGUGAGAAAAGGUUGAACAUACAUACCAUCUUUGUUAAACAAAGAUAUUUUCCAUUGCGAAAAGUUCUCCAAAAAGUUGUUGAAUUUUUAUUUUUAUUUUUGGUAACUUUGACAGCACGAAGUCCUUUUAAAUAAAAGAAAAAUAAAAUUACUGGGAGGAGGUACUGCGUUUUAUCUUUCCAAAAAAUUCAUAGAAUCUAGAACACAAAAAUGUGAUGCUUGAAAAUACAAUGAAUAAACAUAAUUUAAGCAAAUAUACAAUGAAUCUUCAUUAAUUACUAAAUUAGGGGAUAAAUAAAAAAAUUUAACAGAAAGCCUAAUGAUUGGACUGUUUACAUCCUACUUUCUAAUUGACCAAACUCGAAAAUAUAAACUCAAUCGAAAUUUUCUUUGGUUUGUACUAAUCUUCGUUACAGCGCUUAGAAAAUUCUAAGCUCAUGUAGCGAUUGUUCAUUUCACAGAUUAUUUUGUGGGGAGAAAUUUCUUGAUUGUUAAUAAUUAAACAUAACAAAUAUAUAGAUAUUAAUCUCAUGUAUAAUAAUGAUCAAGUAUUAAAAUGUACUCCAAAGCUCAAAGCUGAAGUAAGUCUAGAUCGAAAGAAUAUCCCUAAGUUGAAAAUGUAUAAGAAUGUUGAAAAAUACGAUAUUAUUGAAUCCUAAUUAAUCAACGUAAAUAUGCCAAUAUGUUUUUGAACAGGUUGCGGUGGAAAGAAUUCAUAUUGGCUUGCUGGGAUAAUUUUGGUUAGCAUAAUUUGCUUCUAUGGCUACGGAAAGUUACCCUUUCACAAUAUCUCUCUAGCAUUACAUUAUUAUCUGGUCUCAUCUUGAGAGUGGAGAUUCUCGCUGGAGAUCCCAAUAUGAAUCCCGAGCAUUUUAUGUUAUUGUCAUUUCUAACUUUAUUAUUUUUUCCAAUUCCAUAUUGGAUUCACCUGGUAGAAGCAUAAGCUAGCAAACAUGAAAUGAACCAUGAGCAGGAAGUGAGUUUCUGUCGAAUAAUUUUUUUUUUAAUUGCAAAUUGAGUUGGUGGUACUGAUAAGGACAUGUUUUUAGGGGAUAAACAAAAAGCCUAAUGAUUGGACUGUUUACAUCCUGCUUUCUAAUUGACCAAACUCGAAAAUACAAACUCAAUCGAAAUUUUCUUUGGUUUGUACUAAUCUUCGUUACAGCGCUUAGAAAAUUCUAAGCUCAUGUAGCGAUUGUUCAUUUCACAGAUUUUUUUGUGUGGAGAAAUUUCUUGAUUGUUAAUAAUUAAAGUAAACAUAACAAAUAAAUAGAUAUUAAUCUCAUGUAUAAUAAUGCGCAAGUAUUAAAAUGUUCUUCAAAGCUCAAAGCUGAAGUAAGUCUAGAUCGAAAGAAUAUCCCCAAGUUAAUAUUGAAAAAUACGAUAUUAUUGAAUCCUAAUUAGAUCCAACCAAAGCUUUGUGCAUAACAGCCUAGAUGAUAUAUUUAUGUUAAUUAAUUAAUCAACGUAAAUAUACUAAUAUGAUAAUAGCGGUAGUUCAAAAGGUUUGGGUUUCGAAUUCGGAUUACAUUAGGGUUGAGGGGUUGAUUGAAUUAUAUUGCGAAAUGGGGAAAAAAUAGAAAUAAUAAAGAAAAACAUCUUGCAUAUUGAAUAUCUUUUUUCUUUUUUCUUUUUUCUUUUGACGAUAAGUUAACUUAAAAUUUGCCUUAAUUUUAAUCCUAAAAAAUUAAGAAAAUAAAUUAAGUCCUAACUAAACUGAAAACAAAAAUGACUCGAAUACGACCAAUUUGAUUGAUUAUAAUUUGUAAUAUAAUUUUACCAAAACAGAACCAUGAUUGAUUAUUACACCUUGCAUGUUAACAACCAAAAGAUCUCUUUGUUUGAUGAGAAUUUGCAUGAAUUGAAAUUCAAACAUGGGCAAAGUGUUGAUGGAGCAGUGAUACCAGAAAAGAACAUAACCUUCCUCCCUCGCAUAUAAUGUCAAACAACUACAAGACCGCUAGCUAGCUCUUCAAAGUUACUGAAGUCCAAAACAGAGCCACGAUUAUCACUAGCUGAUACAUGAAUAGAAGCAUCAAUUUUGAUUUGAUCACCAUCAAAAUUUCUGAAACAAGUUGAUUGACAAAAGGGAAACUAAAUUCUGCUUGGCCGAAAAUCAUGUGAAGUGGGACCCGAAAACUUAUAACCAAAACCCGAAAGCAAAGUCUCAGAAAUUUAUAAAAAAUGAUACCACCAAGCAUACUAAAGUCAUAUGAGGUGGGUCAUCAACUAGAUAUCACAUGCUAAACCCAUAAGGCGGCCGCUGCAUGUAAUCUCCAUGUGGAGACUUAACAACCAAUUAACCACCAAUUAUCGAGCGUCAACAUCUGAAUUUCUUUGCCAAAAGAGGUGGGUACAAUGAGAUCAACUCUUAUUAUAAGACAUAAUAUUAAAAGUUGGCAUCCCAAUUUUCUUGUAAGAGUCACAAUGCUCAUUAGAAUAUAUAUUACAGGGCUUUGGAAAUUCCAAGCACAGGCACCUCUGCUUCCACAAUGCACACAUCAUUCACAAGAAAACCAUUUCCUGCCUUGUUCAGGUAAUUGAGUUCAACAAAUUUUUUCCAACCCCCAAAUUGGGUUGAGGUAUUUAACCAUUCUCCAGCUGCGAACACGACAAUAGAAACCUUAAGUUAUUUGCAUUUAGCUACAAAGCUUAUUGAACUGAAUUACCUGUUAAAGUCUGGGUUUAUAAUAAUUUACCUUUUUUUUCAUAAUGCUUUGACAGCAAUUGAUUCCGGAUUCGCAGUGUAAAAAGCACGUAUAUUUUAGAACCACCAGUUAUAGUUGACAAGUCAAUCAACCGCAAGUACAUAGAAAUAUGACUGCCGCUAGCUUCUCCCAGUCCUUUGGGAAGGAGUAGUAUCUUCCUGAAAAAAAAUCAACAGGGGUAAAGUUUAAGUCUCUGCAUUCAAUUAUACAUAUUAUCAAUACAUUAACUUUCAGAUGUGGCAUUUAGAUUAUAUAUGUGAAUAGAGAAACAAACAAAUUUUAACAAUUCAUUUUACAUUAUACAUUUGAAGAAGUAGCUUUAACAUGAUGCAUCUUUUUAACAAGAUGUAUUAUUCAAAACUCAAAAGAAUUUCUUUUGCAUCAGAAAUUUAUUGCAGACGUACAAAUGAACCCUAAGUGUUAGCCAUGCUCGGGUCUAGAUUUAGUCUAUGAUAUAUUAGAGUUUUAAAUUGCUGUUAAAUGUAGAACUUUGAUCAUAUUUUAAAUCCGAUUUUUAUGAACUCCGAAUGUCCGGAUUUGAACACCAUUUCAGAAAGUAUACAUACCACUUUUGAUCUCCAGCAACGAAUACUUCUGAUUCAUAAAACCGGUCCUCUAACUUUGAAAAGUUCUCGAUCUUCCAAACAUGCUUAUAAUUGGAAGCAGAUGUCAAUUUCGUCAUGGAAAGGCACUCUCCUGUGCAUUCUUUCGUUUCUUUAACAAAUACUUCUGCUCCAAAAACACACGUAUCUCCCACAAGAUAUCCAUUCGAAGCAUUAAUAAAUUCUUCAAGCGGGAUGAAUUGAUCAAAACCCCAUUCAAGCUUUAAUCCAUGAAAACGUCUUUGUUUACCCAUGGCAUCUAUCACAUGGAGGUGACCGGCCCAAAUCAUUGAUUAGGUCUCACUUAAAUAAUUAAGCACAAAACAAUCAUAAACAUUAUUGAGUGUAAUAACUAACCUUGAAGAAUCAAGAACUCGUCUUUCUUCUGAUCAAGCACAAAUAGGCGGAAAAUCACAUAGACUUCCCAACCAAGGCCAAAUGAACUUGUGUCUACCAUAGCCAAGUAGACUGAGAUGUGGUCUUUCACAUUUUCAUUUUUAUUUCCAUUUGGGUAGACAACAAGUUUCCUGAAACCAUCAUGAAUUCAAAAUAACAUAUUAGAUUAUGAUAUGUAAUUUAGUAAUAAGGUGAUCUGAAUAUAGUGUACAAUUAGGUUUUGGGCCACACCACUUGUAGCCUCCAGCAUCAAAUUCCAAGGAUUUAUAAUUUUCCACGUCAUUCUCCACAAGAGAUGAAAAUGCCUCUAUUUUGAGUAAGAAAUGUGCCGGUGGUACAUGUGAAAUGGAUCUCGAAAUUGCUGUCAAGAGUAAUUUUAACAUUGAUCAGAAAAUAACAGGCUAGAAAUUUUCAAUGCACAUAUAUAAACAUAUAUAGAGAAGGGGAGGUGGGGAAAGAGUCAGAGAACAUACCAACUUGGUCUACAAAGUCAUUUUCCAUUGCAGCAAAUUCCUCCAAACUAUUAUAAAUCUUCAAGUACUAAAACUAGUACUGAAGAAAGAUUGAUUAUAAUAAGAUUCUUCAAGGGCUAGGGUAUUCUCUCAAGAGUAAUAUUUCUUCUUUAAGAUAUCUAAAAGGGACCGUGGUACAUAUAAAGCAUCAAGGUUGAGGGUUUAUAUAAUUCAACAUUAAAUUUCUAGAAAGAGUCAGAAUGACUAUUGGUAUUCACCAAGUUUUGGAAAAUGAUGGUUGCAAGAAUGGAAUGGAAAGGGGAAUGCAAUGGGGGAAAAGGGAUAUUGAUUCUUUAAUUUGUUUGUUUUGGUUUUUUUUUUUUUUUUUUUUAAUAAUGCCACUGUUUUAGUGAAAGACUGCUGUACGGCCAAGGCGGAUGUACGGUACAGCAGAUCUAAAUAUAGCGUACUAUUAGGUUUUGGGCCACACCACUUGUAGCCUCCAGCAUCAAAUUCCAAAGAUCCAUACUUUUCCACAUCAUUCUCCACAAGAGAUGAAAAUGCCUCUAUUUUGAGUAUGAAAUGUGCCGGUGGUACAUGUGAAAUGGAUCUUGAAAUUUCUGUCGAGAGUAAUUUUAACACUGAUCAGAAAAUAGCAGGCUAGAAAUGUUCAAUGCACAUAUACAAACAUACAUAGAGAAGGGUAGCUGGGGAAAGAGUCAGAGAACAUACCAACUUGGUCUACGAAAUCAUUUUCCAUUGCAACGAAUUCCUCCAAACUACUGCAAUUCUCCAGGUACUAAAACUAGUACUAAAGAAAGAUUGAUUAUAAUAAGAUUUUUCAUGGGUUAGAGUAUUCUCUCAAGAGUAAUAGUUGUUCUUUAAAAUAUCUAAAAGGGACCAUGAUAUAUACAAAGCACCAAGGUUGAGGGUUUAUAUAAUUCAAUAUUAAAUUUUCAGAAAGAGUUAGAAUAACUAUUGAUAUUCGCCAAGUUUUGGAAACUGAUGGUUGCAAGAAUGGAAUGGAAAGGGGAAUGCAAUGGGGAGAAGGGAUACUGAUUCUUUAAUUUGUUUGGUUUGGUCAAGGAAUAUUGAUUUCUUUGCUUGGUUGCAAGAAUGGAAGGGAAGGGGCAAAAAAACAACUACAAUACAAAUGAACAAGAAUAUGUACCCUCCACUCAAAAAACAUGUAUUUCAACGAGCUGAAGUAAUAUUUUAGUUGUUCUAUUUUCUGUUAUCAAAUAUUAUAAAAUUAGCUUCCAAAAUUUAGGCCCGAUUUAGUAAUAUCAUUACAAUUUACUAUCAAAUAUUAUAAAAUAUUUUCGAUUAUCAAAUGUAAUGAGCCGGUGGUAGUGAAGUGUAUCUUGCAAUGGCUAUACAUUUAAGUAAUUUUUAAUUAACACCGAUUGAUUCGAAAUAACAAGAAGCUGAAAAUUUUAAGAAUAUUGUCCUCUAGAGAACGUGAGAAAAGAUUGAACAAACAUACCAUCUUUGUUAAACAAAGAUAUUUUCCAUUGCGAAAAGUUCUCCAAAAAGUUGUUGAAUUUUUAUUUUUAUUUUUAUUUUUAGAAACUUGGACCGCACUAAGUCAAUUUAAAUAAGAGAAAAAUAAAAUUACUGGGAGGAGUCACUGAGUUUUGUCUCUCAAAAAAUUCAUAGAAUCUAGAACAUAAAAAUGUGAUGCUUGAAAACACAAUGAAUAAAACUAAUUUAAGCAAAUAUACAAUGAAUCUUCAUUAAUUACUACAUUAGGGGAUAAAUAAAAAAAUUUAAUAAAAAGCCUAAUGAUUGGACUGUUUACAUCCUACUUUCUAAUUGACCAAACUCGAAAAUAUAAACUCAAUCGAAUUUUUUUUUGGUUUGUACUAAUCUUCGUUACGGCGCUUAGAAAAUUCUAAGCUCAUGUGAUUGUUCAUUUCACAGAUUAUUUUGUGGGGAGAAAUUUCUUGAUUGUUAAUAAUUAAAGUAAAAAAAUAACAAAUAAAAAGAUAUUAAUCUCAUGUAUAAUAAUGUUCAAGUAUUAAAAUUUACUUCAAGCUCAAAGCUGAAGUAAGUCUAGAUCGAAAGAAUAUCCCGAAGUUAAAAAUGAACAAGAAUAUUGAAAAAUACGAUAUUAUUGAAUCCUAAUUAGAUCCAUCCACAGCGUUGUGCAUAGCAGCUUAGAUGAUAUAGUUAUGUUAAUUAAUUAAUCAACUAAAUAUGCCAAUAUGAUAUUCAAACAUGGGCAAAGUUUUAAUGGAGCAGUGAUACCAGAAAAAACAUAACCUUCCUCCCUCGCAUAUAAUGUCAAACAGCUACAAGACCACCAGCUAGCUCUUCAAAGGUACAGAAUCCAAAACAUAGCCACGAUUAUCACUAGCUCACUUAUUGCACUGAUUCAUGAAUAGAAGCAUCAAUUUUGAUUUGAUCACCAUCAAAAUUUCUGAAACAAAUUGACCGACAAAAGGGAAACUAAAUUCUGCUUGGCCGAAAAUCAUGUGACGUGGGACCCGAAAACUUAUAACCAUAACCCCGAAACAAAGUCUCAGAAAUUUAUAAAAAAUGAUACUACCAAGCAUACUAAAAUCAUAUGAGGUGGGUCAUCAAUUUUCUCUUCUUUUUUUUUUUCUUUUUCUUUUUUGGCCUUCACGCUCGUUGGUUCAAUUGCCUUCAUACUACCAAAAAAAUGAAUUUUUUGCUCGUUGGUUGCUGCACAAAUUGAAUGUUACCUCCCGACUUUAAUCAAAGGCGAAGAGAUUGAUGAUUAAGAGUAUGUCAUGUGAAUGACAAGUUGUUCUAUCAUCUCAUUGUAGGUUGCAUUAAAAUUUAAUGAGGUAAAAAUUGGUGCGGAUUUUAUUGGGUUUUAUGCCUGUUAAUCAUGUCUCGACUGUUCUUAUUUCUGGAAAGUUUUCCUCGGUCAUGAUUGUUUACGCAAGCAUUAGGAAAAAUCAUAAUUCUUUACCUUAUUGUUUUAUUUACUUCCACAUUGUUGAAAAGAUUCACUUCUUUUGACAUUUAAGCUAUAUCUUCCUCUGUUUUUGAACAGGUUGAGGUGGAAAGAAUUCAUAUUGGUUUGCUGGAUAAUUUUGGUUUGCAGAAUUUGCUUCUAUGGCUACGGAAAGUUACCCUUUCACGUUAUAGUAUUACAUUAUUAUCUGGUCGAGAUCCUAGGCUUUUCCCUUAUUUUAUUUUCAAGUAAUAUUUUGGCGGAGGGAAUCCCAAGCUUUUUUGUUAUUGUCAUUCCUAACUUUAUUAUUUUUUCCAAUUCCAUGUUGGAUUCACCUGGUAGAAGCAUAAGCUAGCAAAGAUGAAAUGAACCAAGAGCAGGAAGUGAGUUUCUGUCGAUUAAUUUCUUCUUCUUUUUUAAUUGCAAAUUGAGUUGGUGGUACUGAUAACGACAUGUUUUUUCUUCAUUAUUUCUUUUAAAUAAAAAACUAAAGCUCCUAUUAUACACAGGAAACGCCAUUGCCUCAGUCCCAGAACAAAAUGGUCGGUACUUUUUUUAUAUCCAUUAAAUGAAUAAAUAUUAAUUUAUAUUUAUAGAAAUAAUAUCACGUUGAUAAUCGGAUUUUUUUUUAUAAAAUAUAGUGGUAGUAUAAUUAAAGAAUUUAGUGAUUCUGAGCUAGUAUAAUUAUAAAAUUUAGUGAUCUUUUUUUUUUCGAGUAAAGAAAUUUAAUGAUUCUAAAGUAGUAUAACGACAGAAUUUAGUGAUUUUAUCAUGUUGUAUGAUAGGAUUUUAAUUCGAUCUUGAUUGAGUGAAUCAAUCAUUUGAUAAUUCUUUGGUUAGAUUGUAUAGUUGGAUCACAAUUACAUGGUAACUCAUCAACUGAGAUUUUUUUGAGGCAAUAGAUUAAAUCUCUCUCUCUCUUAUUUUUCUUGCCACAACACAUAUGAUACAACAAUAACUUCUCAAUUGAAGAGUGUAAAAAAAGUAAUACUGAUCGAUAAAAUACAUAAAGCAUUAUGCCAGUACAACAAAAAAAUCAUAAACAUAUCAUAUGCAUUUAGUUUUAAAUUAAUUAAUUAUUAAUACAUGUAUUAAUUGGGUCUUAUAAAAAAAUAUUUUUUAAAAAAUAUAUUAUCUAAUAAAAUUUAUCAAAUUAUUAAUUUACCAUAUUGACUCUAAGUCAAACUGAAGAAAACUAUUAUUUAAUAGGAGUUAUCAAUUUAUCAAUAUUAAUUCAACGAGGUUCAAUUCUACUUGGUUUUCAUUUUCUUAGUAAGUGAAGUUAUUAGUUCUCUUGCAUCCUAAUUUUCUUCGUUUCACUACUUUUUUUUUCAUUUUUCUUUUUCUUUUAAAUCAAAAUCUUAGAAGAGAAGAAUUACAGCAUAGGGGAUAUAAUGAAUUUCUCCUUAAAGAGAUGCAGAGAAAUAGAACACCAAAAUAACACUAAAAAGUUAGCUUGACAGCAUAAACAAUAAGCAAUGUAAGAGUUAUUUUGGAAAACCACAAGAGAAAUAAAUUUCCUGAUAGCUAAAAUAAAUUUCCUAGAUUAGCCAGGCAGUCGGCAUCACACAAUAAAAGAACCCAUUUGGAGGACAAUUAAUUACUUGUUAUAAUGGCUUGGAAAUUCCAAGCACACUGACCUCAGCUUCCACCACGCAAACGCCAUUCACUAGAAAUCCAGUCUCUGGCUCAUCUAACUCACUCAAUGAAACGAAUCUUGGCCAGCCCCAGUUUUCGCUGGGUGUAUUGAACCAGUCUUUAUUCUCUAAUAGAGUAAAAGGAACAUUCUCGUUAUAUUAUUUGGAUUUGCCUCAAAUACUAAUUGCAUGUAAACACAGAUAUUUUACCUCGAAAAGAUUUAUGUUUUGCCCCCACUUGAUCUAUGAUUCACAAUGUAUGCACUGCAUAUAUAUAUACUUUAAUCACCUUCACUGUGGAAUCUCCAAAAGCCAAGUACAGAGAAAGAUGAUCGCCAUCACCACAGCCGUUUCCAAUCUGGAGGAAUGUGCUUCACAAACAAAGAAACAAACAAACAUUACCAGAAGCAACUAUGCACUUACUGGUUCGGAAACACAAAACCUAGAGUCACUGAAAACGGAGAGAACAAUUACUAUCUUUCAGUAAAGAAGCAAAACAACUAAAACCUAGCUUUGCCAGCUUUCGCAGCACGCAGCCCUUCAGUAAUUAGUGAUCAAGGCUUGAUGAUCAAGCAACAGGACCAUAACUCGCAUGGAUGAAUUUCAAAUUUAGGAGUCCAAUAAUGCGAGCGGUUUGAGUGAGAUAUUUUAACUGAAUUAUUGGCAAUUAAAACUUCAGAAACUAACAGGUGUCUGAAAAGCUUCUACCUUCACUUUUGCAGCAACCACUGCAUAAUGUCCUUUCGCAGGACUCCAUCAAACCCAUUUCUAUUGUAGUUCAAACUCAACAGAUCAAAUCCAUUUGUCUCAAGAUGCCUGUAAUGGGUUGUCGUUCCCGCAGGCCUUGGAUGCCACAUCAUCAUGGCAGUGGUAGAAAAGGGUGGUUUAGGCCAUAUAUUUUUUGAUGAGCUAAACAGAUGUCUAUCAGAUUCCUUGUUUCUAGAUGUUUGGACUCCAGGAGUUUUUGGAUUCGAGGACUUCAUUCCAUGGUUGGCCAUGCUCAUGCUGGGGCCAUGUGAAGGUUUCUCAGGGGGACCAUGUAUCUGGGCAUAUGGUUUCAUUCAGUCAAGCCAACGUAGAAUCCAGCAUUUCUACCAACUUCUAUGUCCCUCUCAUGUAUGUUCCUGUGAAACUUGAGAGCAACAUCAAAGGCAGCACAUACUCGGCUGUGGAAAAAUCAAUGAAGAAUGAAGGUCAGUCUUCAAAAAACAAUGGCAGUUCCAAGUUGGAGGAGUAAAUUUGUUAUUAUUCAAAACAAUUGUAGAAAUAACAGUAUUUGCCAGCUAGUAAUUGACAUAACAGCAGUAGUUAAACAGUAAAAUGGAGUCCAAUGAGCCAACCAGUGGGAAGAAUGCAAUGCUCAGGCAGUACCGUGGGCAAUAUCACACUGAGACUCUAAGAGUGGAGGAUGUGCAAUUAUUGGCUUCAUGAGGCAUACUAAAUCAAUUCAAAGUUCAAAGUAUUGAAACAAUUAACUAAUUUAGGAUUUCCAUUUUAUGCACUAGAUCAGAAGGAUUCUGGAGCAAAAAUAUGUGCCCUGGUAACUUACUUUCAUGAAGUUAAUAAUGUCCUACUAAUAAACAUCAAAAUACAACGGCCCAUUAAAAAGAAAAGCACAGAAGAACUUUCAAUCUAUCAUUUCAAAACAGUCUCUCUGAACUAAACAAGAGUACAGCUAUGAUCUCCAGCUUUGGACGUUAGUACUUGUGCUUCUCCAAAAUCUUCACAUCACCUAAAGAGAGACAGCAAUUUAAGAAUGUGCUCAUAAUAAUGAAAUUAGUUCUGGUAUCCGAGCAUUGUAGCUUGAUUGGAUAA